UUACUCAACGCCUUCUUUCAGGUGUUGUUUGACAGGUUGGCUUCCCGUGAUUUGCUCAGCUUUGUCCGUCAACUUGGAGGCGGGGUCGAUUCCGAGCUCAAGAAGUGGGAAAGAAAGCUGAAGAUGAUUCAGGCGGUGCUCAACGAUGCAGAGGAGAAGCAACUGACUGACGAGGCUGUGAAGACGUGGCUGGACGAUCUCCAAGACUUGGCUUAUGACGCUGAGGACAUUCUUGAUGAGUUUGCUACUCAAGCUUUGGAAAGCAAGUUGAUGGCGCAAAAUCAGGAUAGCUCUGGCCAGGUUCUCAGUUUCAUCCCGGCUAGUAUCCGAAUGCUGUUAGGUUCAAUUAUAGCAUGAGGUCCAAGAUUAACGAUAUUACUAGCCGGUUGGAGCAACUCUGCAAAGAAAGAAUCGAACUUGGACUGCAACGGAUUCCUGAAGGGGCAUCAUCAACUGCUGCUGCUGCACACCAGAGGCCACCCAGUUCAAGCGUCCCACCAGAACGUGAAGUUUUUGGUAGAGAAGAAGAUAAGGCCAAAAUUCUUGAUAUGGUAUUGGCCGAUAGCCCAAGUGAUCAUGCCAACUUUGCUGUAAUACCCAUUGUUGGCAUGGGCGGGAUAGGAAAAACAACUCUCGCUCGGGAGGUCUACAAUGACAAGGCCGUUGAACAUUCCAAGUUUGAUGUAAAAGCAUGGGUUUGUGUAUCUGAUGUCUUUGACAUUUUGGGCAUCUCAAAGGCACUUCUCGAGUCAAUCUGCUGCGCAGCUAGUGAUCUCAAGACUUUAAAUGAAGUGCAGGUUCAACUGAAAAAAGCAGUGGACGGAAAAAGAUUCUUGCUGGUCUUAGAUGAUGUUUGGAACGAGGACUACAGCUUGUGGGUAGACUUAAAAGCUCCAUUCUUGGCUGCUGCACCAAAUAGUAAGAUGAUUAUCACCACACGCAAUUCACAUGUUGCAUCUACAAUGGGACCCAUUGACCAUUAUAACCUCAAGCAUCUGUUAGACGAUGAUUGCUGGUCUAUUUUCAAAACGCAUGCAUUGGAGGGUAGAGAUCAUAAUGCACUUGAAAUCUCAGAAUCAUUUCGCAAGAAAGUUGUUGCCAAAUGUGGAGGCUUGCCCCUUGCUGCAAAAACACUCGGAGGCCUUUUGCGUACGACGAGGCAUGAUGCGUGGGAUGAUAUAUUAGAGAGCAAAAUAUGGGAUUUACCUCAACAAAGUGGGGUUCUCCCAGUAUUAAGAUUGAGUUACCAUCAUCUUCCUUCUCAUUUGAAAAGAUGUUUCGCUUACUGUGCAAUCUUUCCAAAAGAUUAUGAAUUCAAUGAGAAGGAGGUGACUUUUUUAUGGAUGGCUGGAGGAAUUAUUCGACAGUCAAGAAGCAAAGAGCGGCUAGAAGAUUGGGGCAGCAAGUGCUUCUAUGAUCUGGUGUCAAGGUCAAUUUUUCAGCAAACAGCAAUCUCUGGUAGUUCUAAAUUUGUAAUGCACGACCUUAUUCAUGAUCUUGCUGAAUUCGUCUCUGGAGAAACCAUAUUCAGGUUAGAGGAGUCCACCAACUUGUCGUCAAGCAGAUUUGAAAGAGUUCGCCAUUCUUCCUAUGCCGGCGGUUGGUAUGAUGGUAAAAAUAAGUUUGAGGUUUUCUAUGAAAUUGAACAUCUACGAACAUUCUUGCCAUUACGCUUACGCAUGCGAGGUACUUUUUUCAUAACUAGAACGGUUCUAUCUGAUUUGCUGCCAAAGUUCAAAAAAUUGAGGAUGCUAUCUUUAGAAGGAUACUGUAUUGGUGAGUUACCAAUUCCAUUUGAAGAUCUCAGACUUUUAAGGUUCCUCAACCUCGCUGACACUGACAUAAGAAGUUUACCUGAGUCAACAUGCAAAUUGCUGAACUUGGAAAUUCUGAUAUUAAGAAAGUGUUCCCGCUUGAUAAAGCUUCCCCAGAAAAUGAGGAAUUUGAUCAAUUUACGUCAUCUGGAUAUAAGAGGUGCACAGCAGCUGAAGGAGAUGCCAUUUGGAAUGAAAGAGUUGAAGAAGCUUCAAACAUUGUCCAAUUUUAUUGUGGGCAAGGGUGAAACUGCAUCCGGUGUGGAAGAUUUAAAAUGUUUAAGCUUUCUUUGUGAUGAACUUUGCAUUGCUGGAUUAGAGAAUGUGAAUAAUCCACAGAAUGCAAGAGAAGCCGCAUUAUGCGAGAAGCACAAUCUUGAAGCAUUGACUCUAGAAUGGGGGUCUCAAUUUGACAAUUCUCGAGAUGUAGCAAUAGAAGAGCACGUGCUUGACAUUCUACAGCCUCAUAAAUGUAUAAAAAAGGUGGCAAUCAGGAGCUAUGGUGGUGCAAGAUUUCCACUUUGGAUAGGAGAUCCGUUGUUCUCCAAGAUAGAAUUCCUUGAAUUGGAGAACUGUGACAAUUGUGUAUCUUUGCCAUCGCUUGGCCGUUUGAGUUCACUUAAACACCUUGCUGUUAAAGGGCUGAAGAAACUAAAAAGCAUAGAGCCUGAGGUUUAUGGGGAGGGUUUCUCAACGCCUUUUCCAUCAUUGGAGAUUCUAAGUUUCGAGAAUUUGACAGAAUGGGAGCAUUGGGACACGGAUAUCAAAGGAAAUGCACUUGUUGAAAUAUUUCCUCGUCUCCAUAAACUUUCCAUUGUGAAAUGUCCCAAACUCUCUGGAGAACUGCCUGAGCUCCUGCCCUCCUUGGAGACACUUGUUGUUAGUAAAUGUGAAAAGUUGGUAGUUCCAAUGUCUUGCUAUCCGAUGCUCUGCAGAUUAAAAGUUGAUGAGUGCAAAGAACUGGUCUGCCGGACUCCAAUUGAUUUUAAGUUGAUAAAGUCUGUGACUAUUUCAAAUUGUUCACUAGACAUGUAUGGAUGCAAGGGGAUGCUAUACAAUGGUCCAGCUGGCUCUUCACUGCCGAAAUCCAUGACUAUUACAAAUGUUUUGGCGUUUGGAAAAUUAUUGAAGCCUGGAUUUCAGAUAUUAGAAACUUUGGUAAUUGACAAUUCUGAACAGCUCAAGUCAUGGAGGCAGCGUGGGGAUUUUCGACAAGAAUAUUUGGGCGUUCGCGUAAGGCGUCACAAACCAUCACAAGGGCUAGAUAUGCUCGCCUCCCCAGAAGAGGUAACAAUUGAAGAAAGUUGUGUGAGUUUUGUUUUAUUUCCAGAGAUCAAUUUCUUUCCCAGAAAUCUGCGCUCUCUUCUAAUUUGCAACAGCACAGCUUUAAAAUCCUUACCCGAUGAAAUGAUGGACAAUUCACAACUCGAAAGGUUGUAUAUCAGAGAUUGCGAUUCUCUAACAUUCAUCACAAGACGCAAGCUACCUUCAUCUCUAAAAAGUAUAGAGAUUGAGAAUUGUGAGAAACUGCAACAUUUGUUCGAUGAUAAAGAGGAUGCUUCUUCUUCUUCUCCUCCUUCAUCCUCGUCCUCCCCAGUGAUGCUGAAACACCUGAGUAUAAAUAAUUGCCCAGUGCUCACCAGUUUAUCAACAGGAAUCCAAUUACUUGAGGCGCUUGAAAGCCUCGAGAUACGGGAUUGUCCAAAGCUGGAGUCAUUACCAGAUGGCCUUCACAAUCUUAACUGUUUACAGGAGAUUACUCUAAACAGUUGUCCAAGUCUUGUUUCCUUCCCAGAAAGAGGACUUCCCAACACGAUUUCAAAUCUUGUAUCGUUUCCAGAAGAAGGUUUUCCUACCAAUCUAACAUCACUUACAAUUGGAUAUUUCAAAAUGUAUAAGACACUCGUCCAGUGGGGGUUGCACAGGCUUACCUCUCUUAAACGCCUCUGCAUCAUUGGAUGUGAUGAUGAAGCAGAGUGUUUUCCAGACGAGGAGAUAGGAAUGACGCUGCCCACCUCUCUCACUCAUCUGACACUUUCGGAAUUCAAAAAAUUGAUAUCUCUGUCUUCGACGGGUAUUCAGAGCCUCAACUCUCUUCAAUCUUUGUCGAUCGGGAAUUGCCCGAAUCUCACAUCAUUUCCAGAGGUGGGCCUUCCAUCCUCACUUUUGGAAUUACACAUUUACAGUUGUCCAAAGCUUAAAAAAGCGUGCAAAAGAGAUCAAGGAAAAGACUGGCCCAAAAUUGCUCACAUCCCUUUCGUUGAGAUAGACGGUAAAUUCAUAUACGAUCCCGAAUCAGAGGAGUAGAUUCUAUUACACAGGUCAGUUGAUUUAUAUUAUCCGCUAUAACAAGCUCCUCCUUUUUUAUUUUUUUUAAAUAAUAAUUUUGCAGUCAGUCACGUGAUUCCGUUUUCACAAGUCAGAUUGUAUGUUGAGGCUAUUUGCCUUUUAAUCGCAGAUUAAAUUAUAACACUUAUCUUAAAAUUUAAUACCAUAGACAGAUAGACGAUUUUUUAAUCCAAAGUUUUUUUUAUUCACUUCAGUUAGCAUUUUUUUUUCCCCCAAAUCAUGCAAGCCGAGAGUUUCAAUCAAGAAUUGGAGGAUGUGAAUGGGAUUUUUGUGAAAGAGUAACAUAAUGGAUGACCGAACAUUUCAUCUGUGAUCUCAAAGUCAACAGAAUUUUAUUCACUCAUUGACUUUUCAACUGCCGUGGUUUUUAUGGGUGAAAGAUAAGGGCAAUUACAAAAAAUUUGCAAAAUUUGUCAAUUUCUUAGAUGGUAGAUAUAUCGACAUUUUAGAUUUCAGAUAUUUGUCACCAAUUUGCAAAAUUGAAAUUUCUGUCUUCAAUGGGUUUUCAAAGCCUCGCCUCUCUUCGAUUUUUGUGGAUUGGGAAUUGCACAAAUCUCACAUCAUUUCCCGAGGUCGAGGAAAAGAGCGGCCCAAACUUGCUCGCAUCCCUUGGGUUAUGAUAGAUGGAAAAUUCAUGUACGAUCCAGUCAGAGGUGUUGAUUCUCUUAUUAAGGUCAGCUGAUUUCUAUUAUCCACUCUGACAAUCUCCUAUUAGUGUUUUUCCUUUUUUUUUUUUCAAAAUUUUGCAGUUCUGUAUAAUUGAAAAUGCCACUCACUUGUUUCCUUUUUCACAGGUCAGAUAGUAUGUUGAGGCUAUUUGAUUUCUAUCGGUGUUUGUUAAGGUAAUUAGUGCUCCCUCAUAGGUAUGACUAGAUUUUUUUCACUUCCGUAAAUAUUGCAUUUUAGACUGGCAAAUUUAGCAGUAAUUUUAAUACAAUUUUGUUGGUGCCUUGUGUGCCAGAAGCUAGAAAAAUGUGUAGUUUUCAGAUAAGGAGUCUUGUUAGUUCUCUAGUAAGAAUCCAAUAAUUUGCUUUUGCACGUCCAUCUAAUUUGUGGAUCCUUGCAUCAGAAUUUGAUCAAUCCAAAGGAAUUGCUUUUAGACAGAAGAAGAAUAGCAGCACCUAGCCUAUGUCAUAGUGUAUGGACCCGCAAACCUGAAACUAUUAGAUUGAGGUAAAAAAAUCAUUGACCCUCACAUGUUAACUUCUUCUAGUUACUUUUGUUGGGAAAAAAAAACAUUUAAGGAAUUUGCAAUUUGUUGUUAGUUAUGGUAUCUGAUGUUCUUUUCUGUUUUAGCGUUUGUAGAAUCUACGGUAUUAUGUGUUGGCAGUUGCCGUAUCUGAGGUAACUUGCCUUUAUUUGUUUGCUUCUGACUUAAGGACACCAACAUUUGCCAGAGAUUUAGAGAAGCAUCUCAAAACACUUAGCAAACUUGACAAACUUCAAGAUGCACUUGCCCCCACGCCUUAUUCUCCACAACGCAAAACUUGUGAGUACACUUAUGCCUGCAAUUAUUGUGAAGUGUUUGCAAUUUCGAUGCAGAGAAAUGGUUUCUUGAUGCAAAGUAUUAAACUGUUAAGAUUUAUCCUGCAGGCUUGUUAGAUGUUGUAUACUCGAAAAGCCAACAACAUCAAGAACUACAACUCCAAGACCAACUUUGCAUUAAUUCAGUCAGCUGUAAAAAUGAUGCAAAUGACACUAUAUCAAGCUGGACUUAGAGACUAGUCAGAUCAAUCAUCCAUUUCAUCAACGGUUAAUGUCAUGAUGGUGGCUAUCAGAGGAAACAAAAGAUGUGUCAGAAUCUAUACGAACAUUGAGAAGCAUGAGAGGAGCUUUGAUUUUGAGUAGGGUCAAUGAACUCAUGUUGGUAAGUGGUGAUUAAAGAAAUUUGUAAGCUUAGUAGAGUUUCAGUAUUUUCUGUUUGGAGUAUAGUUGAUAAGUUGACUCUGUUUAAGAAGCCCGAUUAUAGUAGCUGACUGUAUUAACCUUUUUUUUUUUGGUCUGCUGUUGUUUUUGGUUUCGAUUAUUUUUUCAACAUUGGGUUGAUCUGUUGAAGAACAAGCUUGGGUUUGAUUAUGUUUUAACUAUAAGGAAGAGCCAGACUUGGUUGCAGGCGUUAAGCUUUUAAUGGGUAAGAACAAAUGAAUGCUUUAACCAUGUUUCUCACUUAUUAAAAUGCAUGGAUUGAAGGCAUCUGGGUUGAUCCUGACAAUGUGAUGGAAAUACUUCUCUGUUUUCAUGUAACAGGACAAAUAGAGAUCUCUGAUCAUGCCUGAAUUUUUGUUGCAUUGAAAUUUCUACCAUUACCAAACAUAGAAUGAACUGGGGAUACAUUAGCUUAAGACUCAAUUUUGAGAAGGAAGUUUGUACUUGCAGCCUAUAAAAUCAUGUCCGUGUCGUACGUUUCUUUGGGAAAUGAAAGAUUCUGUGUGUUCUUUUAUUUCAAGUUCACUGAAAUCACAUUUGUUUUCUCCGAUGCUUUCCAGAAGGUAACAACAUCAAUUUCAAAAAUGCUGGGGCAAGAUGCAUCAUGCAGUGCGACUCAACUUGAGAAUUCCUGGCCACAUUACCCGUAUGUCGAAUGAUCGCACAGUUCAACCUUGAGAAGCUUGUAAUGAGUACACAACUGGGUGCAAGUAGUUUUGAAAUGAAUUUGCCUCAAAUGAUUUCUUGCUCGCAUCCCUUGGGUUAUGAUAGAUGGAAAAUUCAUAUACGAUCCAGAGUCAGAGGUGUUGAUUCUCUUAUUAAGGUCAGCUGAUUUCUAUUAUCCACUCUGACAAACUCCAAGACCGGGUUUUUUUUUUUUUUUAAUUUUGCCGUUCUGUAUAAUUGAAAUGCCACUCACUUGUUUCCUUCUUCACAGGUCCGAUAGUAUGUUGAGGCUAUUUGCUUUUUAUCGGUGUUUGUCAAGGUAAUUAGUGCUGCCUCAUAGGUUGAUUACUCACAGAUGAAAUCAUAACUUUUAUCUUAAAAUUUAAUAGCAUACACAGAUAGAUGAUUUUUAGUCCAAAGUUUUUUUAUUCACUUCAAUCAAAAUUUUAGAUUGCAGAUUUUUGUCAAGUAUUUCAUUACAAUUUUUUCAUUUUUUAUUUUAAACCAGAAUAUGAGUAUAACAUUUUGGAGCGUGCAUACUCUGAUGCAUGCAAUUAACUGUUUUUAAUCAUUGGAUUUUGAAAUUAAUAAUGGUAAGAUGUGUACUUAUUCUGUCUUCCAACAACCUUGGCCUCUUUCUUCGGUCGCAUAUCUAAUGAAUAUUUCUCUGUUUAGUUAAGGAUGAAUGCUUGGAGUGGGGUACUUGGUAACAUUUCUGCCUCAGAUGAAUCCUUGAAGAAAUGCCCGCAGUUCCUGAGACCAAAUACAGGUCUGAUUCAAAACAGCACCUUUCUCAGAAAAUAUGAUCCAAGGCAAAGUCAUGUUCUGAUAAUGUUUCCUUAAGUACAAAGUUGCAAGGAAACUUGAUUCAUUAACUACAGUUUUUUAUUUUUAGGACCUUGUAUCUGAAAGGUUCAGUGUUUUUUUUUUUUUCAAAUUUAUUGUUCAGAUCUCAGAGGAGUAUAUGGUUUAGAUUACAAAACACCCAUGAUUAAUUUCAUUUUUUUUUUAAUUUCAGGGAGAAGAAGUGGUCAGUUUCAAUCCGGAAUUGGAAUAUGGCAAUUUGGUUCAAGCACACACACCUGGUCACUUGGUCAGUGAACCUGAACUUUACGCAGUUUUUUCAACUCAGUGAUUUUUGGAACGCAUAGUGGUGUAAGGAAAUCAAAAGAAAUUUAUGCAUAGUCAAAUUCUGAUAUUUGCUAUAUAUUAUACAUUCUAAAGUUUCUCCAGUUUGUUCUCAGAUUACCAUCAUUUUUUGCCUUCACCAAAAAAAAAAAAUUGAGUGGCUUUCCAGUGGAUAUUUAAUCGGAGGUAUGACUGGAUUUUUUUCACUUCUGUAAAUCUUGCAUUUUAAACUGGCAAAUUUAACUUUAAUUUUAAUACGACUUUGUUGGUGCCUUGUGCCCCAGAAACUAGAAAGAUGUGUAGUUUUCAGAUAAAGGGGCUUGUAAAUUCUCUAGUAAGAAUCCAAUAAUUUGCUUUUGCACGUUCAUUUUAUUUGUGGAUCCUUGCAUCUGAAUUUAAUCAAUCCAAAAGGAAUUGCUUUUAGACAGAAGAAGAAUAGCAGUACCUAGCCUAUGACAUAGUAUAUGGACCUGCAAACCUGAAACUAUUAGUUUGAGGUAAAAAAUUCAUGACCCUCACAUGUUAACUUUCAUGAAAAACACAUUUAAGAAAUUUGCAAUUUUUUGUUAGUUUCGUAUCCGAUGUUGUUUUCUGUUUUAGCAUUUGUAGAAUCUACUGUAUUAUAUUUUGGCAGUUGCAGUAUCUGAGGUAUGUUUUGCAUUUAACUUGCUUUAUUUGUUUUGCUUGUGACUUAAGAACACCAAUAUUUGCCAGAGAUUUAGAGAAGCAUAUCAAGCUGCUUGGCAAACUUGACAAACUUCAAGAUCCUCCAUUCUUCACAACGCAAAACUUGUAAGUACACCUAUGCCCGCAGUUAUUGUGAAAUGCUUGCAAUUUUGAUGCGCUGAAAUGGUUUGUUGAUGCAAAGGUUUAAACUUUUAAGAUUUACCCUGCAGGGUAGUUGGAUGCUGUAUACUCGAAAAGCGACCAACAUCAAGAACUAUGACUCCAAGACCGGGUUUGCUUUAAUUCAAUCAGCUGAAAUCAUGAUGCAAACGACACUAUCAGCUGGACUUAGAGACCGGUCAGAUCAAUCAUCCAUUUUAUCAACAGUUAAUGUCAUGAUGGUGGCUAUUAGAGGAAACAAAGGAUGUGUCGGAAUCAAUGUGAACAGUGAGAAGAAUGAGAGGAGCUUUGAUUAUACGUAGGCUCAAUGAACUCAUGCUGGUAAGUGGUAAUUAAAGAAAUUUGUGCGCUUAGUAGCAUUUCAAUAUUUUCUGUUUGGGAUAUAGUUGAUGAGUUGAUACUCUGAUUAAGAAGCCUGAUUAUAGUAGCUGACUUUUUUUUUGUGGUUUGCUGUUGAUUUUUCUUUUGAUUUUUUCAACAUUAGGUUGAUCUGUUGAAGAACAAGCUUGGGUUGAUUAUGCUUUAACUACAAGGAAGAGCCAGACUUGGAUGCAGGCGUUCAGCUUUUAAUGGGUAAGAACAAAUGUAUGCUUUAAACAUGUUUCUCACUUAUUACAAUGCACGCAUUGAAGGCAUCUGAGCUGAUCCUGAAAAAGUGAUGGAAAUACUUCUCUGUUUACAUAAAACAGGACAAGAGAUCUCUGAUCAUGCCUGAGAAUUAGUUGCAUUGAAAUUUCUACCAUUGCCAAAAAUAGAAUAAACUAGGAAUACAUUAGCUUAAGACUCAAGUUUGAGAAGGCAGUUUGUACAUGCAGCCUAAAAAAUCAUGUCUGUGUUGUAUACUUGUAUGUUUCUUUGGGAAAUGAAAGAUUCUGUGUGUUCUAUUAUUUCAAGUUUGCUGAAAUCACAUUUGUUUUCUUAGAUGCUUUUGAGAAGGUAACAACAUCAAUUUCAAAAAUGCUGGGGUAACAUGCAUCACGCAGUGCUACUCAACAUGAGAAUUCCGGCCGCAUUACCUGUAUGUUGAGUGAUCGCACAGUACAGCCUUUAGAAGCUUGUAAGGAGUAGACAACUAGAUGUGAGUAGUUUCAAUAUGGAUUCGCAUCAAAUGAUCUCUUGCCAGUGAUUACUAUAACCUCUAUCCCAAAAUUCUUGGAACUGGUCAUACCAAUAAUGAAGUGUUGUGUAUGUUGAAGACAUUGCGAAAGCUCCGUCAGCCUUUGUAUUGGAAAACAGUUGGUUGUAGUUGCUUCUGAAUGAUAUUAUUAAUAGAUACUGUAAAAAUGAACUGUGCCACUCAUUUUCAGAGCCCUGUUAAGAUGUGUUGGUAAUGUGUUUGAAGGUUGUUUGAUUUAUGUUGUAUUCAGCUAUAAAUCAAAGAUUCAGAACAUGGUUAUGUUACUGGUUUCCAAAUCAAAAAAUUGCCUUGUGAUGUUAGUGUUCAUUGUUUUCACAGGAGAUCAGGUUCCCUGUUGAUGAAUCAUUAAGGCAAACGCAUCCAUGUCUUAAGUUCAAAUGUGUCUCUUCUAUUUUCUAUUACUGACUCCUUUAUUUUGAUUUCUUCAUUGUAAUGGAAUUGGUUUUUAUUCCAAAUUAGUCUUAAGUUCUGUUAGCAUUUGAAGAUAGAACUAGAACUAAAUGAUUGACUGGAUUAAAUUCCGAUAAAGAAUUAAGUUAUAUAUUUAGAGAUAUUAUGUUUUUUUUUUUUUCAUUUGUUCAAUUUGGUUAGUGGUGAUUUCUUAAAGACUCAAUCCAUGUGCGUUUAUGCAUUUUUCUUUUGCCUUAAUUUCUGUUUCUUGGGGAGUUUAUACAGAUUCUUAUUUUAUGCUUCACAUGCCACAUGAAAGAUCGAAUUCUUAUAAUAAGAGUCUGAGAUCUCCCUGAAGGAUUCAAAGCAUUUUAUUUUAUAUUAAACUCCUUUACGUGGGUUUGGACACUACCACAAGUUCUUUAAAUACUAAAACGAUUUUAAGUCUUUUGUAUCAUCUGAUUGAAAUACAUGAAAGCACUCGUGGCUGCAAAAAUACAGUUGGGGCUAUUUCUAAAGUCUUCAACAGCAUUUUCUUUUUAACCUUUAUCCUCAUGGUUGUUUUUGCAGUUGUUCUUUAAGAAAACAUUUAAAAGGUUCUCUUUAUGGAUUUUUGAAAAUAAUUUUAACAUAAGCAAUUUUCAGAAGCACUUUAGAUGUCUGGCAUUUAGAAAAUUUUAUUCCGGUGUCACAUAAAAUACUUAGGAAGUUAAAUUUAUUUAUUUAUGAGCAUGUGCCAGUGCCCUGUGGCAUCCUCUUCACUUGUGAUAGUCAAAUGUAUUAUACGAUACAAUAUUAGCUUGACUGUAGCACAGAGGAGAAUAGGGUUGGUGUUGGUCUGAACCAGCUUAUGUAACAGCUGCCAAAGGAUAAUUUAAUUGUACUUUGAGUAAAGCUUUUGCAAAUUAAACAAGUGAUAAUUUGUUUCUAUUAAGAAAAACUUAAAGGAUAGGGCUAUUUUAACUCACCAAACUACACAUUAAAAAUCUACUUACAAAAAUAGUUUUUAAUUAUUAAAAUAUUCCUAAAUUAAAUUAUAAUUAUGGACACUAAAAUAUAAUUUUUUUUAUAUUUUACCCUUUGAAACUAUCUUUACAUUCGAUAUUACAUUUUUUUCUUAAACUCCAAAUUGAUUUUUUUUAUUAAUUUUAAAACACAUAUAAAGUGAUUCAUAUUGAUUUUAUACUAACAAACUAUUAUAGCACAUUCGAAAAAUAAUUAAAUCGUUCUUAUUUACAUAGUGAAAAUGCAAAUAGCUCAUUCAAAUGUUAAGGAAUUGGAGAGCUGCUGCUGGAGAUGAAAGAUGUGAAUUAAACAUCAGAGAAAAAAUUAUGUUCACUGUCUUGCCAGACCAAGCACCGAAAAGCGUCGUAAAGAAAAAUUAGAUAAUUUAGAAGAUAAAGCACGUGGAAUGGAGGCAGAAAGCAAGUAAUGAUAACUCUUUCGACAAACUAAUAUAUACCAAAAUGUAAUAUCGGCCCUAAUAAAAAAUGUGUUACGUAAGUAAAAGCACCAGGUCGGUCGUGCUACUAUUUCUGUCCCGGUAUGGCUCACCUCAACUGAAUGGUACAAGCAGAGCAUGGAGACGAAUAUGGCCCGACCAGAGAUGAGUACCGACCAGAGGUGUAUGUCGAGCCGAUACCCGUCUCCUGAAAAAGCGGGAACACGAUCCCACAGAAUCGCGGAAUUUGCGUUUUUCCCAGAACCGUUGCGAGAGAUGCGAUACCCCACGUUUACCCGUAAUGUAGUAGUUAAAGUUCCGUGAAAGGCCACCACCCGAAAAAGGAGGGAUGAAGACUGAGCGGGAACGUGGGAUAACGGCUAUAAAAGAAGGAGAAAUCGAUGAAGAAGGGGACAGAAAAAUCAAAAGAGGGAAAACGCUGCCAAAUUAUUGUCAGGCUAUCUUCUUGAAAAUUCCAGAUAAAUCAAAAACUACUCUUAAAUCUAAAUUGCUCUGUUUUCCCGUAAAUACCUUGAGCUAACUUAGGCAUCGGAGGGUUUACGCCGGCAAAACCACCCGCGUCUUUGAUCCGUUUUUUUGUGAGCGCAGGUCUAGAAAGAGAAAGGAGGACGAGUCCAAGUCCCGCGGUUCGAACUUGAUAACAUAAUCGUUGGUGGAAAAUUCUGGUCGGUAACAAGGCGAGCAGAUUUAAGCAUCAACAUUUUGGCGCCGUCUGUGGGGAGCUGGAUAAAAAGCUACCACCAACUUAGUAGUUGCCAGAGAAGCGGUAAACAAUCAGACAUGGAUGUGCCCAGGAAAGACGCUCUGAGGGAGGAUAACGAGUCUGGAGAGACAAUCACUCUUAGGGAAAUUGCAAAUGAAGCCCGGGAGAGGGUAAUGCAAGAUCGAUUGGAGCGGAUGGAGAAACAAAUGGAGACUCUCGCGACCAUACUAUUUGAGCUGAGAGACGAGCGGAGAAGGGAUUGCGAAACCCCUGUGGGGAGAGAUGAUGUCGGAGCAGAACCCAGCCUCCGGACGCGUAGAGUCGAGGAGAUCCCUCCGCCGGCGGACCAACCUAAUGGGGUGCAUCCCCACAGAAGUACUGGUCGGAUUCCAGGAGAACAAAUAGAUGAAGGGAGGAACCAACCUCGCCCUGGGCGGGUACUGGAAGCUGAUGGCCGAGGGGCCAGUGUUAAUGAAGGGGAGCUCAGGCAGCGGUUGCAGAAUGCCGAACAGGAGCGAGAUCAAAUAGCUGCACGUGAUCCUGACCGUGCUGUAGAAUUGGAGGGAGAGGUGCGCAGAUUAGCGCAAGUGAUAGAGGAGAUACAGGGUAGGAGAAAGCCCCCGAGCUGGAGGAUAAUGCUAGAUGAAGAAUCUCCACUAUCAGUUGAGAUCAUGGGCACUGUAAUCCCAAGAGAUUUCCGCUUCCCCGACCUCAAAUACUCCGGGCGAAGUGAUCCACUGGUGCAUAUUGAACGUUUUAAUGACGUGACGGGUGUUCAGGGGUUAACACCAGCUCAGAGGUGUAGGGUAUUCCCAUUGACACUAGAGAGACGAGCCCGAGAAUGGUACCACAAACUGUUACGAGGAAGUAUCAGAGGGUACGAGCAGAUGUGCCAAGAAUUGGCCGAACAAUUCCGGGGGGCGGUGGCCCCAGAGGAUGAUAUGAUGGAACUAAUGGGGAUAAAGCAGGAGGAACAAGAACCCCUUCGAGAUUUUGUAAAACGAUACCACCGAGCCGUGCUUGAUUUGGGAGCUUUCAAUCACCCGCAGGCGUUGAGGGGAUUGAAGGAGGGUGUGAGAAUAGGCCGACUGUGGUAUAACCUGAGAAGCCCCCUGGUGCAGAAUUAUUCCGCGGGGUAUGAGCAAGCAAAGAGAGACAUUGAAAUCGAAGAAGAAAAAUCAGCCAGGAUAAAGAGUGAACAAUUGGAGGAGCUGAGACGAAGAGAGAUGAGAGCCCCAAAAGGAGCGGGUCAGGAAAGCAAGCUGGGGAAUCUUCAAUGAUGGGUGCAGUAUCCGCUCGAUCUCGCCUUUAUCCUAUGGCUCAGAGACCGCAGCAGGUCCAACACAAUCGGGCUCAGCCCUCACGCCCCCCAUUCCUGGAACGACAACGAGAAUUUCGGCAGUUGGCUAACCAUCCCUAUCACAACGCUCCCAGAGCACCGCAUACAGCCAACCCCAGAGCGGGACGAUCAGGUCAGCUACCUUCAAUAUCCGCUCGGGAUGAUACUCAUGAUAGCCGAGCAGUCCAGCUGAUUGACCAGAACCCAGCGUACGGACAAUAUACCCCGCUAAAAGUCCCUAUGGAGGAGUUGUAUGAGAGAAUCGAGGGACGAGGCCUGUUGUACCCUCCAGCCCCUAUAACGAAACCUGCUCACCGAAGGGAUAAGAGCAGAUUCUGCAAAUUCCAUGACACUCACGGUCACACCAUCAGCCAAUGUCGUGACUUUAAGAUUCAGGUGGAGGAUUUGGUGAGAAAUCGUUAUUUGGAUGAGUAUGUAGAUGGGGUUUCUCCCGUCAUUGAAUCACAGUACACGCGGGGUGAAGGAGAUGAGAGGAGCCUGGAACGUGAACAGCCAACUAUCCGUGUGAUAGCAGGAGGGCCAACCCUGGCUGGGGAUUCGAAUAGGGCACGGAAGAACUAUGGGAAAUACGCCAUGACCAGCAAAGAAGUUCUUUUCAAUUUGCCAGCAGCCAAGAAGGCAAAAUUGCGGCAAGUUCCCAUUAUGUGGACAGAUGACGAUAAAGAGGGUAUCCUAUAUCCUCAUAAGGAUGCACUGGUGAUUAAGGCAAUGGUGGCUGGUACAGAACUACGACGGAUACUGGUAGACACGGGCAGCUCGGUUGACAUCUUGUUUAAAUCGGCCCUAGAUGAUAUGGGGAUUGCAGACUUAAAAUUGGAACGGACGAACACAUCUUUAAAGGGAUUUGGAGGGGGACGGCUAACUCCCAUAGGAAUCGUCGAACUCCCAAUUACUAUGGGGACAAAGCUGUUUGAAAGAACAAUGAUGUUGGAUUUUGUCGUGGUAGAGGAGAGAAGCCCUUACCAGAUGAUACUGGGGAGACCGUUCAUGAAGAUAAGUCAAUGCGUUGUGUCUACGCAUUAUCUGGCACUAAAAUACAGAAUAAACGGAGCGGUUGGUGUAGUAAAAGGUGACCAGAGGGUGGCAAGGAGUUGUUAUGCUACAGCGGCCAAGGAGACGCUGCAGGUUACUUCCUUAGAUAAUCGAGGAGAACCUAAAAAGGGCCGCCAAGAACCUGUUGAGAAACUGGAGGCAGUUUCGGUAAGCAAAGGCGACCUGAGCAGAGUGGUGAAGAUCGGAUCGGGGUUGGUUGGUGCAGUCAAAGGCGAACUGGUAAAUUGCCUACAGUCUCAUGCAGAUAUAUUUGCCUGGUCUCACGAGGAUAUGCCAGGAAUUGAUCGUGGGGUAGCUUGCCACAAGUUGGCAAUUAAGAAGGGGGCGAGGCCGGUGAGACAGAAGAGGAGAUGCUUUAACCAGGAAAGAUACCCAGACGGACGAGAUGUGAAGAGGUCAUGGAACGCCGAGCACUUAAAGAAGUAUUUUCAGUAAGCAAAGUGCUCUGCUAAAUCCUCAUUUUGAUAAGUUUUCUUUGUUAACUGCAUGAUGGUUUAUUACGCAUGUACAUAGUCUGUAUUUUGUAAUACAUUCAAAUCGCAAUAAAGAUGAAUUCAGCAUGAAACCCUUCUGUUAAGCAAGGCCAUUAUAAUUUAUACCAAGGCAAGUAAGUGCCUGCUUCUGCUCGGUCAACGAAAGACCAGCAGCUAAAUUAGCGAAAUUUCUACCAAGGCAAGUAAGUGUCUGCUUCUGCUCGGUCAACGAAAGACCAGCAGCUAAAUUAGCGAAAUUUCUACCAAGGCAAGUAAGUGCCUGCUUCUGCUCGGUCAACGACAGGCCAGCAGCUAAAUCUACGAAAAUUAUACUAAGGCAAGUAUGUGCCUGCUUUAGUUCGGUCCACGAAAGACCAGCAGCUAAUACUACGAGAAUUCUGCUAGGGCAAAUAAGUGCCUAGUUCUGCUCGGUCAACGAAGACUAGCAACCAAUUUUAUUAAAAUUUUACUAAGACAAGUAAAUGCAUACUCCUGCUCGGUCCACAAAGAAACCAGCAAGCAAAAUCAGAUAAGUUGUCCAAUUAUUUUGCAGAAACCAUCUAUGAGCAAAUACCAGACAAGAAAGUCAAUAGAGAACAUCUAAAAGUUUAUAAAUGUUUGAUUGUCUACAAAAUAGAUGUAAAUCUAAAGUUUACACAGAAAUAGACUUAAAGAUUAGCAGGGUCAACGGCUCCAGCAGCUGAAGAAUCAGCAACCUCAGGAGGCGGGAGAUCGGCAAUACCGGGAGGAGGGGGCAUGGACCCUUGACCCACCUCGAAAGUACGUCCCCCGGCUUCCCCCUCCUGCACCCCCUCCAAAGGAGCCUCCGCCUGAUCCUGAUGACCUUGCUCCUUAUCUGCCUGGCCGGUUUCCGCCAUAUACCGCUGCACUCCAGCCUCCAGCUUACUCAUGUCCAGCUCGGGAUAUUCUUCUUUAAGCACGGACAUGAUACACUUAUAGGAGAAAGCAACCCCAGAGUCAUACUCGGCAUCCAGCUGGUCGUCCACAUCAGCGGAUUUGCCUUUCUCCUCAGCCAGCUGUUCAUUUAGGGAUUUGAUUUCUCCCUCAAGGGCAGUCCUCAGAGUAUCUCUUUCACUUUGAGUUACCUGAAGGUCAGACUUCAGGCUGCCCAACUCACCCUCGAGUUUGGAGGCAGUGGACUCAGCAAUUGCAGUUUUCUCCUCCAGCUCCAUAAUCUGUUUGUUCAGCUCGGCCAGUUUCUCCUUGGAGCGAUCAGCAGAUUCAGCCUUCUUUUUCAACUCCUGAUUAUCAGCUUGAAGCUUCCUCUCAUGGCGUAUGGACACGUUCUUGUAACACGAAACCAUGGUGGCCAGCCUGAAGGAAACCCUUUGAACAGAGGCAGCUAACUCGGAGAGCUCCAUACUCUCGAUGUCCUUCACCAUCUUGGGCCCAACCGACCUCUUGUAAUCCUUUUGGUACGGGCUCAAAUAGUCACCCUGAUCCCGAGAUGGAAGAGGAGAAGAUCGGUCCCCAGAUUGUAAGCUGACCUCAGGGCUCUUGUCGGAAGUUUUCUCCCCACUACUCUUACGAGGUGGAGGAGGGGGCAGAGCAGGAACUGGAGCCUGAGAAGGACUGGCACUGGCCUUUUUCGGAGGAGGAGGAGGGUGGCUGGAGCUGCUCGAUGCCCGACCACGCUUUCUGCUCAUCGCGCUGAGGAUCUUGUUAUCCAUCCCAGCGGCAAUAUCUACUAAGCCCGAACCGACCAGGUUUGUUGGUGACAGGAGGUCUUGACAAGUAGACGCGCUCACCAGAGCCGUUUCCACCUGGAGUAAAGGUCGGUCCUCGAGAGUCUUAACCAAACCCCACGAUUCUGAAAAAACAGACAAGGUUAAAGAACCCAAUAAGUGGCAAUUCGAGAAAGAAUAUAGGCAAAAAAUGAACGACCUGGGGUGACAAAUUGCGUUGGAAGGUAAAUGUCACCACCCAACGACCGAACUGCUGGACACCAAUUUCCCCCAGCAAAGAAGAAUUUGUUCUUCCAAUUUUUGCACGAGGAGGGGAAACCGGUGAUUGGCUUUCUCUUCGCAGAACUGGACAUGAAGUAGUACCAGCCCGCCUCCCUUGGGCUGCUCCGCAGCUGAUACAGAUGCUUCACUUCAACAAGGGAAGGCUCCUCCGACCCACACCUCUCCCACAACACAAACAUAGCCGAGAGAACCCUCCACCUGUUUGGGUGUAGUUGACCUGGGGCCAGGUGCAUACCCCCUAAAAUCUUGGCAAAAUAGCGCUGAAGAGGCAGCCGAGCUCCUAAUUUAAAGCUCUCCAGGUGCAUGGUCACGUACUCCCGCGGAGGCCGACUAGGAACAUCACCUUUCUCAGGAACCACAAGGAGAACCUCCUUAGGAAUAUCAUAGAGGUUCCUAAGCUUGAACAGAUCAUUUUGGGUGGUGGCACAGGCUAUGUGAUCAAUGGGGUAAGAAUCUGCCUCCAUCCUAUGCCCAAGGUUUUGUUUCUUAAGAGGUCGGCUCGGCUCGGCUCGGAGCUGCUUCCCUCACUAUCACCCGCUCCUUCAGGAACCCCGACCCCACCAGAACUGUGGUUCUCGCCAGAGCCCGACGCAGGUCCCCCUCUAUUUCCUACAAGCUCUAAUUCAGAGGAGGGUGAAAUGGUCAAGGGACGUGGGUACUCAAGGAUAUCCCUACUAUGGGAUAAGCCUACACUACGAGAGGGAUUCAAAAAAUCAGUGGGUAUGGGCAAGUUAAGGUCUGAAUCCCCAGAUUCUUCAUCACCCUCGUCUGCAAUCAACUUCCUUCUUCGAUUUGACAUACCGGAGUUCCAAAAGAAAACCAAAACAAACCCAAGUACACGAAUACAAAAAGAGACAGUACAGAACCCAAUCAACAACAGCCAAAAAAGAGGUUAAAGGCUAUACCUGGAAUGGACUAACAUUGGUAGCACUGCCGUGACAGAGAAAACACCCAGCAAAUGGAUACUCCGGACGCUGGAAAUGGGAGCAAAGUCCAGAAAAGAAAUUGGUUAGUGACGGAGAAACGAAUCGCAGAAUGAUGAUGAUUUUAGUCUAGGGAUUUGGAACGAAAAGGGGGGAAACGGAAGCAUUUAAGUGAUGGGAUAUGCCAGCUCACUCACCAUAUAUCGAGGAAGGAUAGCCCGUCGUUUCAAAUUUCAAAAUAUGAAGAGUCGGGAAGCGCCACGUCACUAACCGAUACAAGAGGCCAGACUAGAGCAAGCCCAGAUAUGCAAUGGACAGGCUCAUUAAGGCCCAUGCUCAGAAGACCAGAUGAGAAGCCCCGGGCUGGUCGGCUUCAACCAUCAGUUUCUACUCUUAACUCAUUUCACUCGCAAGACCAGAAACUGGGGGACUGGUGUUAAGUAAGUAAAAGCACCAGGUCGGCCGUGCUACUAUUUCCGCCCCGGUAUGGCUCACCUCAAUCGAAUGGUACAAGCAGAGCAUGGAGACGAAUAUGGCCCGACCAGAGAUGAGUACCGACCAGAGGUGUAUGCCGAGCCGAUACCCGUCUCCUGAAAAAGCGGGAACACGAUCCCACAGAAUCGCGGGAUUUGCGUUUUUCCCAGAACCGUUGCGAGAGAUGCGAUACCUCACGUUUACCCGUAAUGUAGCAGUUAAAGUUCCGUGAAAGGCCACCACCUGAAAAAGGAGGGAUGAAGACUGAGCGGGAACGUGGGAUAACGGCUAUAAAAGAAGGAGAAAUCGAUGAAGAAGGGGACAGAAAAAUCAAAAGAGGGAAAACGCUGCCAAAUUAUUGUCAGGCUAUCUUCUUGAAAAUUCCAGAUAAAUCAAAAACUACUCUUGAAUCUAAAUUGCUCUGUUUUCCCGUAAAUACCUUGACCUAACUUAGGCAUCGAAGGGUUUACGCCGGCAAAACCACCGGCGUCUUUGAUCCGUUCUUUUGUGAGCGUAGGUCUAGAAAGAGAAAGGAGGACGAGUCCAAGCCCCGCGGUUCGAACUUGAUAACAUAAUCGUUGGUGGAAAAUUCUGAUCGGUAACAAGGCGAGCAAAUUUAAGCAUCAACAAAAUGAAAAUAAAAAUUCAUUACGAAUACGUGUUAAAGAUAUCCCAAGUAUAGAUGUGACUGAAAUAUUUGAGAUUGAAGAAGAAUUAAGACUCAAAAUCAAUUGGGAGGAAUAAAUGAGAAACCCCAAUACCAAAAAAUACACGCACAAAUCCUAAUACUAAUUGUAAUCACGGAUAAAAAGCAUAAUACGAAUAAAUUAAAUGGGCAACUAUUCCAUUGAGAAAUUAAUUAAAUCGUGUAUUAAUAUUUUGUAUACAUAUAUUUUUCUAUAUAUAACUUUCGGUAAUUUAAUUUUCCACUUAUCAUUUUUACUCCAAAAAAAUAAUUGAGAAUAUUAUUUAUAUUUUGGUGCAAAAUAUUUGAACAAUAUACAAAUUUUCAGUUUAAUAAAUCUAAACAUCUAUUAAGUUAUAAAUGAAUUUAAUGGGUUUAAUUAAUAAAAUUACUAUUAUUAUAUAAAUUGGGUUUAGUAAUGGUAUAUUGGGUGGGUUUGUUGAGUAAAUUUUAAAAUUUUGAAAUUUAAGGAUGGGUUUAUUUAGUAAAUGAGUUAAGGGAGUAGUUUGUUGGGAUUCACAUAGCCCCACCAAAUUCAAAUGUAAAAUUUGUGGAAAAAGAAGCUAUUGAGUUAUUCUUUUAAAAAAAGAAUUAAAAUGUCAAGAAUACCUUUAUUUAAUUUUAUAAUCUUAUUUUAUAGUCAUAUUUUAUUUCCACCUUAACAUAAUUUUAAAAACCUUAACUAAUAAAUUCUAUAUUUUUUUUAUAAAAGUUAUCAUUAAUAUCCAAACGGCUAAAGAUUUUUUUUUUUUUAAAAAAAAAGGAACUAUGCUUACAAAAGUUGUAUACAUUAACAAUAAAUUUAGUCCAAAGAAUAAAGUUAUUCCAAACAAGCACUCCAAUUCAUCUUGCUAAUGAAUCAAGAUGACUGAAUCCUUCUCUAAGCCAAAUCUAUUUUCACUUUUAGGUCAGAAAUUGUCAUUAAAAAAAUGUUUGAUAAAAUAUGCUCUAGGAACACUAAUUCGUCAGAUGGUUACUCCAAGUUUAUGAAAUCAAUGGGAUUUCAUCAUAUUCAUAACAUUCUUCUUUAAUGUCUAUUCUAACAAAGAAAUCAUAUACAGAGAAUAGGUUUCGUUAAAACUUUUACUAGAAAAACUAACCACAAUUCACCAUUCAUUUAUAUCUUAAGUAAGCCUAAGAUUUUAUCAUUAAAAUCCCAUCAUGAAAAAAACUCAUGGGAGAAAAACUAUAAAAAUUGAAGAAAAAAGAGUAUGGCGUGCAUGUAAAUUAUAUCGAUUUUAUCUACAUGACAAAUAAGACUCUCUUUUACAAUGGCACGGAUGCUUCAUUGAGUAAUCAUGAUUCUUGCUGGUAGUGCUUUGUUGUAUCAAUCUGCUAGCUAUUCAGCGUUCUUUCUUUCUUUCUUCUUAUUUUUUUGUUUUCAAAUAGCUUGUGGUUGUAGAAAUAUUUCAAUUAAACUAUACUUAAGUACUUAUUUGGUAUAACUUCUUUACUAACCAAAAGAAUUUUUUUUUUUGGUUUUUUAUAAUUUAAUUAUACUUUAACUAGAGUUUUUGGGAUAAAACAAGUGAUAAUUUCUCUCUAUUAAGAAAAACUCAAAGGGUAGGGCUAUCUCAAUCCACCAAACUAUUUAUUAAAAAUCCACUUAUGAAAAUAAUUUUUAAUUAUUAGAAUGCCUUUACAUUAAAUUAUAAUUAUGGACACUAAAAUAUAAUAAAUUUUUUUUUUACUCUUUAAAACUGUCUUUACAUUUGAUAUCAUAUCUUUUUCUUAAAAUCUAAAUUGAUAUUUUUAUUUUAUUUUUUAUUAAUCUUAGAACACAUAUAAAGUGAUUCAUAUUGAUUUUAUACUAACAAACUAUCACAGCACAUUCGAAAAUAAUUAACUCGUUCUUAUUUGCAUAGUGAAAAGGCAAAUAGCUCAUCCAAAUGUUAAAGAACUGGAGAGCUGCUGCUGGAGAUGAAAGAUAAAUAAUUCUCACUUAGAAGAAGGAGAAAAAAAGGAAAUACAAUUAGAAUGAGAGGUAGCCAGUAGCCACUAGCCGCCACCACCACCAGUGAAACUAUUUCACAUAAUAGAAGAUAAAGCACGCGUAAUGGAGGCAAAAAGCAAGUAAUGAUAACUCUUUUCGACACACUAAUACAUAUCAAAAUGCAAUAUCGGUCCUAACAAAAUGAAAAUAAAAAUUCAUUACGAAUAUGUGUUAAAGAUAUCCCAAGUAUUGAUGUGAUUGAAAUAUUUGAGAUUGAAGUAGAAAUAAGACUCAAAAUUAAUUGAGAGGAAUAAAUGAGAAACCCAAAUAUUAAUAAAAUACACGUGCAAAUCCUAAUGCUAAUUAAAAUCACGGAUUAAAAAUAAUAAUAAUAUGAAUGAAUUACAGGCGCAACUGUUUCAUUAAGAAAUUAAUUAAAUCGUGUAUUAAUAUUUUGUACACAUACAUUUUUCCAUAUAUAACUUUCGGUAAUUUAGUUUUCACUUAUCAUCUUUACUCCAAAAAAAAAAUUGAGAAUAUUAUUUAUGUUUUGGUGUAAAAUAUUUGAAUAAUAUACAAAUUUUCUGUUUAAUAAAUCUAAACAUUUCUCCAGUUAUAAAUGAAUUUAAUAGGUUUAAUUAGUAAAAAUAUUAUUAUUAUAUAAAUUGGGUUUGGUAAUGGUAUAUUGGGUAUUUAAAUGGGUUUGUUGAGUAAAUUUUAAAAUUUUAAAAUUCAAGGGUGGGUUUAUUUUAGUAAAUGGGUUAAGGCAGCAAUUUCCCAAACUAAAAUUUUUAGAAAAAGACGCUAUUGAGUUUUUUUUUUUUUUAAAAAAAGAAUUAAAAUGUUGAGAAUACCUUUAUUUAAUUUUAUAAUCUUAUUUUAAAAAAUUUACCCAAUAAAUUUUAUAAUUUUUAUAAAAAUUAUCAUUAACAUCCAAACAGCUAAAGAUUAAAAAAAAAAAAAAAGAAGAAGGGAACUGUACGAGCAAAAGUUACAUUAACAAUAAAUUUAGUCCAAAGAAUAAAGUUACAGCUAAAAAGUGCUCCUAUCCUAUUUUUCUCUAUUUUAACAAUAAUCUUCUUCCAAUCCGUUUUACAAUGGACUUUAACAAAUGGGCUCAAUCUCUAAACUUCAUUUUCUUUUGCUUACCCAUGGCCAUUAGCCAGAAAGCCUAAAACAAGACCAGCCCAUAUAUAUAAUUUUUUUUAAAAAAAAGUAAAAAUGUGUGAGAGCUUGUAGCAUUACAAUUUUAGGAUCACAUGUGUAAAUGGAACCCCAACAUUGAUCAAGAAUUAACAAGACAAGAUGAAGAGAUGAUCUUGUAACUAAGAAUGAAGAAAUUGAAUCAAGACAGUACUCUAGUAAAACCCAGAAAACAGAGCUUGAAGAAUCACGCACAAAGCAGUAAAUUUGUAAAACCAGAAUUGGAGCUUCACUUCUCAAGAGAGACGAAACAGGAUACAGUCUAGCUUUAGCCAAAGUGAUAAACUCGUAAUUAUUCUACAAAGGGAACAAUUUUGAACAGUGGGAAAUUCCAUAAUUAUUCUUUUCGGUGAAUUAUUUUAAAUAAAAUUAUAAAAACCAAUAUAAAAUUAUUACCCAGUAAAGACUUUAGAGAGACAAGUGCUCCCAACAGGAUCAAGUGAAUAUGCCCCACAAAGAUCAUUUCUUGUUCUUUUUCUUUUUGACAAUUUUAUCUGUGGUUUCAACUUUUAUGCUUUAUUGUCGUAUCCCGUUGAGGGCUCCGCUGCACCCAUUACAACUUACCCCUAAAUUGCCUCUUACUAACUAAACCGUUAGAUUUUAUGGAAGCACGUUCAAUGCUGAAUUUUAAUUAUGUCAUCAAAUUUCGUUUAGCUCCUUAAACUCCAUUUUAUUUGUAAUUUCUUCAUAAAAUAUUCAAAGCUUCAUCAAGCUCCUGAUGGACCAUCAUGGCUAGGGGUGCAUUAGAGCCGAACUGAAAUAUGUUAGUUCAGUUCAGUUUGGUCAGUUUAAAUCGAAUGGUUUAGAAUAUAUAAACUGAUCAAUUUUAAUUUUUAAUUGAACCGAAAAUCAAUUGGUUCAUUAUUAGUAUUUUUUUAUAAACAUGAAUUAUUAGUGAUUGUAAUUAAAUUGGACUAAAAAAAAUUCAAACUAAGGUGAAAAAUAUAAAAUCUUAGACAAUAUAAAAGAAAAAAUAUUAAAUUUUUUUAACCGAAUUAUUUUGACUCAAUUUGGUUCAUAAUUUUUUAAACCAAAUGGAACCCUCAUAACAAAAAACUAACAGAAACAAUAAGAACACGAUGUUAAAAUCUUAAAUCAAUCGCAAAAAAGCACCCAAAACAGAUCGAUUAGGAACAGUUAACAACAAAAGAUUUGAUGGUUCAAAAUCAUAAUGUGACCUACUUCCAUCCAAGAAUUAUACUAAUUUCUUUACUAGUUGUCAAAUACAAGAUCACAAGAUUAUUUAUCACUCUAUAGAGAAAAAAUUUUUAGAAGAAAUACUCCCCAAUUUUUCUCUUGAUAGUUAUGAAUCAACACCCCUAGAAAGGCUAUUGAUUUACUUUUCCUUAUUUCAUAUGAUCGGUUGCUGCAACUUAAUCCUUGCCAAGUUCCAACAUAGUCCAAACAUUUUUCAUGGUACAUGCAUAGUGCACCUUCAGAAACUUUACAGCUCUUCUUAAAACCUCAGUUCUCGUGAUGUUUCUGAUUUAUUUCUGGGACGAGUAACACUUUUGUUGAACCUAGACCAGAUUUAGUAUCCAAUCAAGAAUUUCCAGGAUCUAGCUGAACUCUCUAAUCAAGACCUAAAGAAUAGUUAAUCAAAUCCACACAAAAGAAUCACCCAAAAACAGUAUACAAAGAACAACAAAUAUAAGUGGUUUUGAGAUAAAUGUAAUUGACUUCUGAGCAUGACUUAAUUUUGAGAUCAUUACUUUUAGUUAAAUGAUCUCCUCCAGAGCUUCUACCUAUGUAGUGUUUUUAGACCUCUAUAGUUGAUAAAGCACGUUCAAGGUGAAGGCUUGUUUUCCAAUCUAUAGUCCAAUUAUAGACUGGAAAUGGUCAGGCUUAAUGCACCUUCAAAAGCUUCACAAUUUGUAUUGAAACCUUAAGCCUCAGAAUGCUACAAAUUUUAAAUCCAUAUACUUAGUGCUCUUAUGAUUUGUUUGAUUUUUACUUAGAUGAAGAGCAUUUUAGCUAUAGAAAACAUUGUAACUAAUUCAAAGCAUGCCUUAGCUACGAGAUCAUUCAUUCUAGCCAAAUGCCCCCUUUAGAGAUUCUGCUAUUGUUGUGUAUUCAGCCUCUAUAUUUGGCAAAGCAAUUACAUGUCGAAGGCUUGCUUUCCAGUUAACAGCGCAAUUACAUAGAUUAAAGGUGUAACCAGGCAAAGAACUUAGUUAUUCUGCCAAGGUCUCCAACAUACUCCAAAUCCAUAUAACCACCAGACUUCAAUCUUUAGACUCCAUAGAUCAAACCAUAACUUAGUGUGCCUUUCAAUCUCAGGUAACAUUUUACUGUUUUCCACGUCUUGCCAUGUACUUGCUGCUAACACUAACAAUUUGAGAAAUGUUAGGCAUCGUAAGCAGCCGACAACACUCUUCUUCAUUUCUUCAUUGUCAAUUUCCUUCUUGGAACAUUGCUCCAUUGAGAGUCUGCUAUCAUUGCUCCAAUUAUUAUUAUUUUUGUUUUUUUAAAAAAAAAAAUUAACCGUGCAAUAAGAGUAUAAGACUAAGCAACGGUCCUUUUUUUUUUCCCAUUCUUGAACAUGAAGUAUUUGAGUAUGCAAUAAAAAUUGUUUAUUGAUAAUUAAAAGUUAAUAGUGGGUGGCUUUAGGAUUUGUUUACAAAAUUGACAACAAAUUAAGAUUUUUCAAAUUCAUAGGUAAGAAACUUUUCAUUUAUUCAUAGAUUUUCCGGUUUAAACUUUAAAGGAAACUUAAAAGAAAAAGAUGUAUCAUUAGAUUUGUAAUUAAAAAAAUUUAAUAUUGUAUGAUCUGUUCGAUAUGCAUAAUUUAAAUAAACAUUAAUAUAGAUGUUAUAUAUCCUAAAACUUAAUUGACUUAAUUCUUACGGUGCAAGGAAGACGUUUCCAAGUUUAAAUCUAAUUUGGGGUCGGGAAAGCACUGGGAAAUAAAUGUAACAAAGGAAAAAAGAAAAGAAUGACAGUCUGAGUGGAGCCAACACGGUUUUGAAAAAAGUGCAAAAAAGGGUUUUAGGAUAUAUUCUAUUAUCGUUUGUUUGCUUGCUUGUGGAAAUAAAAGUCUCAUGUUUCUUUGAAAGGUAAGCAAGUGUGAAUGUUUCUAUCUAGAGCUGGAAAAUGCAUUUCCGUGCAACUUACUUGAUGAAUGAAGUUUUCAUCUCUGACCUUGAUGUUUCCCAGAGCUGCAUUCAUUUCAGCUGAUCUAUUUCAUUUCGUUUGCAAAGGAGUGACACAAAACCUCCUUUGUUAAGGGGAGAAUUUAGAGUGGCUUCAACGGUUAACAAAUAGCCUAAUGUAAGACUUAAUCAAUUUCCUGCCCGGUUGCUUACCACUACUUAUCACUUUAACGUAUGAAACCUAAUCAAGAUUCCUUUGAUGAUUUUUCUAUUUGCUAAUUGAUUGAUAAGCUCUUCAGUGAAGAUAUAGUGUCCGCAAGCCAUAUGUUGAUAGAGUUAGAGUUUGCAGAAGCUACUGUACCAUAUGUUGUUAGAGGCGGUAAAAACGGAGGCAGAUCAACACACAUUUAAAUUUCAAUGACAAUUUACUGGAAAUAAAUUUCCUAUGACCCUACAUGUGACUAAUUGAUGAGAACUUGACAAUGACAAAAGAAAGUGUAUGAGCUUUGCAGGCUGGCUUGCCAAUAUUGACUGUAUGGCACCAUCCGCAAGUAAGUAUCAUUACUGUUUAAUCAACUUGGUGGAGUCCACUGGGACCACCCCACAUGGUCAGUCUUAUCUCUACUCCUAAAUUUUCAAUAUUCCAUACAUCAAACCAAUUGCAGUUUUGAUAUCAAAUUCAAUUUUAUUGUUGGUGACGAUUCUGAUUCCUUUCAUUCUCACAAAACGGAACCAUGGUUGCUGUUGGAGAGAUCUUACUCAACGCCUUCCUUGAGGUGUUGUUUGACAGGUUGGCUUCUCGUAAUUUGCUCCGCUUUGUGCGUCAACUCCAAGGCGGGGUUGAUUCGGAGCUCAAGAAGUGGGAGAAAAAGCUGAAGAUGAUUCAGGCUGUGCUCUGCGAUGCAGAGGAGAAGCAACUGACCGAUGAGGCUGUGAAGAUGUGGCUGGACGAACUCCAAGACUUAGCUUUUGACGCUGAGGACAUUCUUGAUGAGUUUGCUACUCAAGCUUUGGAAAGCAAGUUGAUGGCGCAAAACCAGGAUAGCUCUGGCCAGGUUCUCAGUCUCAUCCCGGCUAGUUUGAAUCCGAAUGCUAUUAUGUUCAAUUAUAGCAUGGGGUCCAAGAUUAAAGAUAUGACUAGCCGGCUGGAGCAACUCUGCCAAGAAAGAAUUGAACUUGGACUGCAACGGCUUACUGGAGGGGCGUCAUCAACCGCUGCUGCUGCACACCGGAGGCCACCCAGUUCGAGUGUCCGAACAGAACGUGAAGUAUUUGGAAGAGAAGAAGAUAAGGCCAAAAUUCUUGAUAUGGUCAAUACCCCAAGUGAUCACGCCAACUUUGUUGUAAUACCUAUUGUUGGAAUGGGCGGGAUAGGAAAAACAACUCUUGCUCGGGAGGUCUACAAUGACAAGGCAGUUGAGGAUUCCAAGUUUGACGUAAAAGCAUGGGUUUGUGUCUCCGACAACUUUGAUGUUUUCAACAUUUCAAAGGCACUUCUCGAGUCAAUCACCUCCGCAGCUAGUGAUCUCAAGACUUUAAAUGAAGUGCAGGUUCAACUGAAAAAAGCAGUGGACGGAAAAAGAUUCUUGCUGGUCUUAGAUGAUGUUUGGAACGAGGACUACAGCUUGUGGGUAGACUUAAAAGCUCCGUUCCUGGGUGCUGCACCAAACAGUAAGAUGAUCGUCACCACACGCAAUUUAAACGUUGCAUCAACAAUGGGACCAAUUGAACAUUAUAAUCUCAAGAGUCUGUUAGAUGAUGAUUGCUGGUCCAUUUUCAUACAGCAUGCAUUUGAAGGUAGAGAUCUUAACGCAUAUCAAAUUUCAGAAUCAUUCAGCAAGAAAGUUGUUGGCAAGUGUGGGGGCUUGCCUCUGGCAGCAAAAACGCUCGGGGACUUCUGCGCACAACAAGGCAUGAUGCGUGGGACGAUAUAUUGGAUAGCAAAAUAUGGGAUUUACAUCAACAAAGCAGCAUUCUCCCUGUGUUAAGAUUGAGUUACCAUCAUCUUCCGUCUCAUUUGAAAAGAUGUUUUGCUUUUUGUGCCAUCUUUCCAAAAGAUUAUGCAUUCACUGAGAGGGAGCUGACUUUCUUAUGGAUGGCUGGAGGUAUUAUUCGACAGUCAAGAAACAAUGAGCAGCUGGAAGAUUUGGGCAGCAAGUGCUUUGGUGAUCUAGUGUCGAGGUCAAUUUUUCAGCAAACAGCAAGCUCUGAUAGUUCUAAAUUUGUAAUGCAUGACCUUAUUCAUGAUCUUGCUGAAUUGGUCUCUGGAGAAACCAUAUUCAGGUUAGAGGAGGCCAAUACUCGGUCAAGAAGAUUUGAAAGGGUUCGCCAUUCUUCCUAUGCUUGUGGUGGAUGUGAUGGUAAAAAUAUGUUCGUGGUUUUCAAUGAAAUUGAACAUCUACGAACAUUCUUGCCAUUACGCUUACGCAGAAGAGGUGGCUCUAAUGCUGGUUACAUAACUCGUACGGUUCUAUCUGAUUUGCUGCCGAAGUUCAAAAGGUUGAGAAUGCUAUCUUUACAAGGAUACUGUAUUGGUGAGUUACCAAUUCCAUUUGAAGAUUUGAGACUUUUAAGGUUUCUCAACCUUGCUGACACUGACAUAAGAAGUUUACCCGAGUCAACAUGCAAAUUGCUGAACUUGGAAAUUUUUAUAUUAAGAAAUUGUUCCCGUUUGAUAAAGCUUCCACCCAAAAUGAGGAAUUUGAUCAAUUUACGCCAUUUGGAUUUAAGAGGUGCGAAGUUGCUGAAGGAGAUGCCAUUCGGAAUGAAAGAGUUGAAGAAGCUUCAAACAUUGUCCAAUUUCAUCGUGGGCAAGGGCGAAACUGCAUCUGGUUUGGAAGAUUUAAAAUGUUUAAACUUUCUUUGUGAUGAACUCUGCAUUGCUGGAUUAGAGAAUGUGAAUGGUCCACAGAAUGCAAGAGAAGCCGCAUUAUGUGAGAAGCACAAUCUUGAAGCAUUGACUCUAGAAUGGGGGUCUCAAUCUGACGGUCCUCGGGAUGCAGUACUAGAAGAGAAGGUACUUGACACUCUACAACCUCAUGAAUGUAUAAAAGAGCUGGCAAUCAGGCACUAUGGUGGUGCAAGAUUUCCACCUUGGAUCGGACAGCAUUCGUUCUCCGAGAUGAAGGUCCUUAAAUUGGAGAACUGUGGCAAUUGUGUAUCUCUGCCAUCGCUUGGCCUGAUGAGUUCACUUAAGCACCUUGCUGUUAAAGGGCUGAAGAAAUUAAAAAGCCUAGAGUCUGAGGUUUAUGGGGAGGGUUUCUCAAUGCCUUUUUCGUCACUGGAGAUUCUAAGUUUUGAGAAUUUGCCAGAAUGCGAGCAUUGGGACACCAAUAUCAAAGGAAAUGUGCUUGUUGAAAUAUUUCCUCGUCUCCAUAAACUUUCCAUUGUGGAAUGUCCCAAACUCUCCGGAAAACUGCCUGAGCUCCUGCCCUCCUUGAAGACACUUGUUGUUAGUAAAUGUGAAAAGUUGGUAGUUCCAUUGUCUUGCUAUCCAAUGCUUUGCAGAUUAGAAGUUGAUGAGUGCAAAGAACUAGUCUGCCGGACUCCGAUUGAUUUUAAGUUGAUAAAGUCGGUGACUAUUUCAAAUAGUUCAUUAGACAUGAAUGGACGCAAGGGGAUGCUAUACGAUGGUCCAGCUGGCUCUUUACUGCCAAAGCCCAUGACUACUACAAAUGUUUUGGAGUUUGGAAAAUUAUUGAAGCCUGGAUUUCAGAUAUUAGAAACUUUGGUAAUUGGCAAUUCUGAACAGCUCAAGUCAUGGAGGCAGCAUGGGGAUUUUCCGAAAAAAUACAUGGUCACUGACCAUGGGUUUAAGAAACCAGUACGAGGGCUGAAUAUGCUCGCUUCCCCUGAGGAGGUAUCAAUUGAAGAAAGUUGCGUACGUCUUGUUUUGUUUCCAGAGAUCAAUUUCUUUCCCAGAAAUCUGCGCUCUCUUCUAAUUAACAACAGCACUGCUUUGAAAUCCUUACCCGAGGAAAUGAUGGAAAACAAUUCACAACUCGAAAGGUUGUAUAUCAAGGAUUGCGACUCUCUAACAUUCAUCGCAAGACGGAGGCUACCAGCAUCUCUGAAAAGGCUUGAGAUAGAAAAUUGUGAGAAAUUGCAACGUCUGUUCGAUGAUGAAGAGGAUGCUUCUUCUUCUUGUCCUUCAUCCUCGUCUUCCCCAGUGAUGCUGAAACACCUGAGAAUCGAUAACUGCCCAGAGCUCACCAGUUUAUCAUCGGGUGUCCAAUUCCUUGAGGCGCUUGAAGACCUCAAGAUAGGGCAUUGUCCAAAGCUGGAGUCAAUACCGGAUGGCCUGCCCAAUCUUAAAUGUUUACAGAGCAUUUAUAUACGGGAUUGUCCAAGUCUUGUUUCCUUCCCAGAAAGAGGGCUUCCCCACACCAUUUCAGGGGUUUUCAUUGCGAGUUGUGUGAAGCUCGAAGCCUUGCCCAAUGAUUUGCACAAACUCAACUCUCUUCGAGGUUUAAGCAUACAGCUCUGUCCAAAUCUUGUAUCGUUUCCAGAAGAAGGUUUUCCUACCAAUCUAACAACCCUUGUAAUUGAAAAAUUCAAAUUGUAUAAGACACUCGUCCAGUGGGGGUUGCACAGGCUUACCUCUCUUAGAGACCUCUACAUCAUUGGAUGUGAUGAUGAAGCAGAGUGUUUUCCAGACGAGGAGAUAGGAAUGACGCUGCCCACCUCUCUCACUCAUCUGUCCUUUUGUGGAUUCCAAAAUUUGAUAUUUCUGUCUUCAAUGGGUUUUCAAAACCUCACCUCUCUUCAAUCAUUCCCAGAGGUGGGCUUUCCAUCCUCACUUUGGGGCUUAGACAUUAGAUAUUGUCCAAAGCUCAAAACAGCGUGCAAAAGAGAUGAAGGAAAAGAGUGGUCCAAAAUUGCUCACAUCCCUCGCGUUGAGAUAGACGGUAAAUUCAUAUACGAUCCAGAAGCAGAGGAGUAGAUUCUACUAUUAAGGUCAGUUGAUUUGUAUUAUCCGCUAUAACAAGCUCCUCCUUUUUUAUUUUUUUUUUUGAAAUAAUAAUUUUGCAGUCACUCACGUGAUUCCGUUUUCACAAGUCAGAUUGUACGUUGAGGCUAUUUGCCUUUUAAUCGCAGAUUAAAUUAUAACACUUAUCUUAAAAUUUAAUACCAUAGACAGAUAGACGAUUUUUUAAUCCAAAGUUUUUUUUAUUCACUUCAGUUAGCAUUUUUUUUUUCCCCAAAUCAUGCAAGCCGAGAGUUUCAAUCAAGAAUUGGAGGAUGUGAAUGGGAAUUUUGUGAAAGAGUAACAUAAUGGAUGAACGAACAUUUCAUAUGUGAUCUCAAAGUCAACAGAAUUUUAUUCACUCGUUGACUUUUCAACUGCUGUGGUUAUUUAUGGGUGAAAGAUAAGGGCAAUUACAAAAAAUUUGCAAAAUUUGUCCAUUUCUUAGAUGGUAGAAAUUGGAGUAUAAUAUUUUGGAGCAAGCAUACUUGAAAUUUCUUUCUUCAAUAUUUUGAUGCUUUCUUAUCCCAUGCACAAAAAUACUAGAAAAAACUAAUAACAACUAACCGAAAAUCCCAGGCGUCAUAUUCCUUUUUACCGCGUUUUAAAAUGCACAACAAUGAUAUUCUUACAAAUUUGCAAAAUUUGUCAAUUUCUUAGAUUUCAGAUAUUUUAAUGCUUUUUUUAAUUUUUGAUCUAGUAAAAAUACAUAGCCUUCACCGGCAAGAUUCUAGUCUUGGAUUUCACCUCUCUAACUCAUCUGUUCCCAUUGGGAUUCCAGAAAUUGAAAUUUCUGUCUUCAAUGGGUUUUCAAAGCCUCGCCUCUCUUCGAUUUUUGUGGAUCGGGAAUUGCACAAAUCUCACAUCAUUUCCCGAGGUCGAGGAAAAGAGCGGCCCAAACUUGCUCGCAUCCCUUAUUAGGUUAUGAUAGAUGGAAAAUUCAUAUACGAUCCAGAGUCAGAGGUGUUGAUUCUCUUAUUAAGGUCAGCUGAUUUCUAUUAUCCACUCUGACAAUCUCCUAUUAGUGUUUUUCCUUUUGAAAUUUUUUUUCCAAAAUUUUGCAGUUCCGUAUAAUUGAAAAUGCCAUUCAGUUGUUUCCUAAUAGUAUGUUGAGGCUAUUUGCUUUCUAUCGGUGUUUGUUAAGGUAAUUAGUGCUCCCUCGUAGGUGUGACUGGAUUUUUUUCACUUCCGUAAAUAUUGCAUUUUAGACUGGCAAAUUUAGCAGUAAUUUUAAUACAAUUUUGUUGGUGCCUUGUGUUCCAGAAGCUAGAAAAAUGUGUAGUUUUCAGAUAAGGAGGCUUGUCAGUUCUCUAGUAAGAAUCCAAUGAUUUGCUUUUGCACGUCCAUCUAAUUUGUGGAUCCUUGCAUCAGAAUUUGAUCAAUCCAAAAGGAAUUGCUUUUAGACAGAAGAAGAAUAGCAGCACCUAGCCUACCCGCAAACCUGAAACUAUUAGAUUGAGGUAAAAAAAUCAUUGACCCUCACAUGUUAACUUCUUCUAGUUACUUUCGUUGGGAAAAAAAAAAACAUUUAAGGAAUUUGCAAUUUGUUGUUAGUUAUGGUAUCUGAUGUUCUUUUCUGCUUUAGCGUUUGUAGAAUCUACUGUAUUAUGUGUUGGCAGUUGCCGUAUCUAAGGUAACUUGCCUUUAUUUGUUUGCUUCUGACUUAAGGACACCAACAUUUGCCAGAGAUUUAGAGAAUCAUCUCAAAACACUUAGCAAACUUGACAAACUUCAAGAUGCACUUGCCCCCACGCCUUAUUCUCAACAACGCAAAACUUGUGAGUACACCUAUGCCUGCAAUUAUUGUGAAGUGUUCGCAAUUCUGAUGCAGAGAAAUGGUUUCUUGAUGCAAAGUAUUAAACUGUUAAGAUUUAUCCUGCAGGCUUGUUAGAUGCUGGAUACGCGAAAAGCCAACAACAUCAAGAACUGCAACUCCAAGACCAGCUUUGCGUUAAUUCAGUCAGCUGUAAUAAUGAUGCAAAUGACACUAUAUCAAGCUGGACUUAGAGACUAGUCAGAUAAAUCAUCCAUUUCAUCAACGGUUAAUGUCAUGAUGGUGGCUAUCAGAGGAAACAAAAGAUGUGUCGGAAUCUAUACAAACAUUGAGAAGCAUGAGAGGAGCUUUGAUUUUGAGUAGGGUCAAUGAACUCAUAUUGGUAAGUGGUAAUUAAAGAAACUUUGUAAGCUUAGUAGAGUUUCAGUAUUUUCUGUUUGGAGUAUAGUUGAUAAGUUGACUCUGUUUAAGAAGCCCGAUUAUAGUAGCUGACUGUAUUAACCUUUUUUUUUUUUUUUUGGGUCUGCUGUUGUUUUUGGUUUCGAUUAUUUUUUCAACAUUGGGUUGAUCUGUUGAAGAACAAGCUUGGGUUUGAUUAUGCUUUAACUACAAGGAAGAGCCAGACUUGGAUGCAGGCGUUAAGCUUUUAAUGGGUAAGAACAAAUGAAUGCUUUAACUAUGUUUCUCACUUAUUAAAAUGCACGGAUUGAAGGCAUCUGGGUUGAUCCUGACAAUGUGAUGGAAAUACUUCUCUGUUUUCAUAUAACAGGACAAAUAGAGAUCUCUGAUCAUGCCUGAAUUUUUGUUGCAUUGAAAUUUCUACCAUUAUCAAACAUAGAAUGAACUAGGGAUACAUUAGCUUAAGACUAAAUUUUGAGAAGGAAGUUUGUACUUGCAGCCUAUAAAAUCAUGUCCAUGUUGUACGUUUCUUUGGGAAAUGAAAGAUUCUGUGUGUUCUUUUAUUUCAAGUUCACUGAAAUCACAUUUGUUUUCUCAGCUGCUUUCCAGAAGGUAACAACAUCAAUUUCAAAAAUGCUGGGGCAAGAUGUAUCAUGCAGUGCAACUCAACUUGAGAAUUCCUGGCCACAUUACCCGUAUGUCUAAUGAUCGCACAGUACAACCUUGAGAAGCUUGUAAUGAGUACACAACUGGGUGCAAGUAGUUUUGAAAUGAAUUUGCCUCAAAUGAUUUCUUGCCGGUGAUUAAUAUAACCUCUAUUCCAAAAUUCUUGGAACUGGUCAUACUAGCAAUGAAGGAUUGCAUACAUUGAAGACAUAGCUGAAGGCCUUGCGAGAGCUCUGUCAGCCCUUGUACCGGAAAACAGCUGGUCGUAGUCGCUUGUGAAUGAUAUGAUUAAUAGAUACUGCAAAAAUGAAUUGUGCCAUACAUUUUCAGCGCUCUGUGAAGAUGUCUUGGUCAUUUGUUUGAUGCUUGUUUGAUUUAUGUUGUAUUCAGCCAUAAAUCAGAGAUUCAGAACUUGGGUAUGUUUCUGGUUUCCAAAUCAAAAAAUUGCCUUGUGAUGUUAGUGUUCACUGUUUUCACAGGAGAUCAGGUUCCUUGUUAAUGAAUCAAGAAGAAGGCAAGCGCAUCCAUGUCCAAGUUCAAAUGUGUCUCCUCUAUUUUCUAUUACCCACUCAUUUAUUUUGAUUUCUUCAUUGUAAUUGAAUUAGUUUUUUAUUCCAAAUUAGUCAAAACCUCGUAGAGUCAUUAAGUUCUUUUAGCAUUUAAAGACAGAACUACGAACCAAAUGAUUUAAGUUCUUCGUUGUAAUUGAAUUUGCUUUCCCAUCUUUAAAGAUAUUAUGUUCUUUUUCACUUUUUCGAUUUGGUUAGUGGUGAUUUCUUAAAGACUCAAUCCAUUUGCGUUAAUACAUUUUUCUUUUGCCUUGAUUUCUGUUUCUUGGGGAGUUUAUACAUAUUCUUAUUUUAUGCUACACAUGCCAUAUACAGAUUCUUAUUUUAUGCUUCACAUGCCACAUGAAAGGUCAAAGCCUUGUGUGUGAUUAGAAUUUACUGGCAUCAUAGUAACUUUAAACCAUUGUGACGUUUUAGUAAUAACAGUCUGAGCUCUCCCUGAAGGAUUCAAAGCAUUUUAUUUUAUAUUAUACUCCUUUAUAUGGUUUGGCUGGUCUCUUUUAAGGCAAUUCCUGUUUAAAGUAAUCAAAAUUUUGAUUUCGAAGUGUCUUUCAACACUACCGCUAGUUCUUUAAGAAAAGUAAAUCGAUUUUGAGUCUUCUGUAUCAUCUGAUUGAAAUACAUGAAAGCACUCUUAGCUGCAAAAGUACACUUGGAGUUAUAAUAGCAUUCUGAAAUCUCCUUGAAGGAUUCAAAAGCUCUUUAUUUGCUAGUCUUUGCUUGCAAUAAACUCCUUUAAUAUAGAUUGGUUGAUCUUCUUUAAAGCAAUUACCAUAAGUUCUUUAAAUAAUAAAACGACUUUGAGUCUUAUGUAUCAUCUUGUUGAAAUACAUGAAAGCACUCUUGGCUGUAAAAAUGCACUUGGGGUUAUAUAUAAAGUCUUCAACAGAAUUUUAUUUCCCCCUUUAUCCUCAUGGUGGUCUUUUUAGUUGUUUUUUAAGAAAUCGCUUGAAGGUUCUCUUUAAAAAUAAUUUUAACAUAAGCAUUCUUUAGAAGCACUUUAGAUGUCUGGCAUUUAGAAAAUUUUGUUCCUGUGUUCACAUAAUAUAAUAUAUAUAUAUAGAAAGCUGACUGUAGAAUAGAGGAGAACGAGUUGGUGUUGGUCUGAACUCUGAUCUUUGAAUCUCAUGUGACUCCACUACUUUUUACUUGUUCUGUACAAGGUCUUUUAGCUUUUCAAAAAGUUUUAGCUUUAUGGAUAAAAUACUGUUAAUUGUAAUCUAUAAAUAAUGAAAGGAAUUAAUAAAAUAUUUGGUAAAUUUUAUUUUCUAAAGUGUUAUGAGUUCUAAAACGGCUGUAUGUAUAUAAAUUUAUUUACACAUAUAUUUAUAAAUAUGAUUAUAUAAUAAUAUUUUAUGUGUACAUAUCAUAAUUGAUAACUAAAAUAAAUAUUUUUAUUUUAUUAAUGGUUUUUCCGUCUCAAUGUAGUUGGUAAUAAUAAUCUCUUUAGAUGUAACGAUUUUAUUUCCUAACUGAAUAAGGAAAAUUUUAGAUUUUUAUAAUAAAUGUUAAAUAUAUAUAGAAUUACAUUAAGUAUGAAAUAAUCCUCAAAAUUAGAUUUGAAAAGUUAUUCUUUUCUUGCUUUUAAAAAUAUGUCAUAUGAUGAGAUAAUUUUACUAAAAGUGAUUUUUUUUUAAAAAAAUUACUAAACAUCAAAAUUAACUCUUAACUUUUUAAAAUCAUUUCUAAUCUUCUCAUCCUAAGUUCUUUAUUGUUUUGUACAAAAUCCAAGGUUUUGACUUUUAUAAAAUGCCCACUCAAAAAUAAAUUAUUUUCUAAUUAAGAUUUGUUGUUAAUGUAUAACUCGAAGUAAUAUUAGAUAUUUGUAAUUUUAUUUCAAAAAUUUUAUUCAAAUGAUAUGGCAAGCAAUGAACAAUAGUUGAUAGCAAUUUUUUUUUUUUAACAAUGUUCAAAUCAAUCAGUUGCAUUAUCUCACCAUUUUUAUGAUGUCAUGUUAUUUUAAAUGAUUUUUUUAAUUUUUAUAUAAAACAUACGACGUGUUAACAUCAUUUGCAUAACUUGACCUUUUUUUUUUUCCUACAAAUAGUGUUUAAAAUUCAACACACAGAUGUGCCUCUUUCUUACUAUACUGGAAUCCUCGGUAAACUUUUUGUUUGCGCAAUUUAUGUGAGCAAAUUGUGUCUUCUUUUUCAUAUGUAAAUGUUUUUGAUAUCUUGAUGUGAAGGUAGAAAAUUGCAUGUUUUGAGUUUUUGCAUAUUUGAUGGAAACACAGAACCGUACCUGAAUAUUUCAGAACCCCCUUUUCUUUGAAGUUUGAACACUUUUCUUGAAUGUAUCAACUUUAUUUAUGGGAUAUGUUGCCAAAUUGGCAAAUCUAUUCGUUAUAAAACUUUCCUUUGACAGUUUAAUCUAAGCAGAUGUUAAUUCUGCAAAUAGAGUGUGCCUUAGAUUAGUUUCAUAGAUUUGUCUCCUUCUGUACAGUAAAAACUUUGAGCAUUUUCGCCAUAUUCUGAUCAAUACACUCCAACUAGUUAGUUCUUGAGGCGUUUUAUGGUUUCGUGGAGUGAGGCAAGAUGUAUACGUUUGCAAAUUGGCAAUGUCUUUUGCUUGAUGGGUUGAGAGUUGUGAGUGUCAACAGGAAACAAGACCUCUGUUUUAUGAACUCCAAAAAGUUAUUCUGUUAGAAAGAUCGAGACAGAGGCCAUACUAUAUUUAUUAUUGCUAUAAAAGUGUGAAAAAAUAUUCUUUAUUUAAUAUUCUAAACGAUUGAGCCAUUUAGUUAUGAUAUUCUGCUGUAUUGGGGCUAAUAAUCUAAGUCGGUUCAAAGUGGUAAAUUUAUAAAUUGAUAGGUAUGCCUGGUAUGACCGCUUACGUUGGAUUUUAUGAGGUCUGCUCUCCUAAGCAUGGAGAGUGUGUCUUCAUAUCAGCAGCAUCUGGUGCAGUUGGUCAGCUUGUGGGGCAGUUUGCAAAGUUAUUGGGCUGCUAUGUCGUCGGAAGUGCUGGAAGCAAAGACAAGGUAGGUUAUCUGUGUGAAGUACUUGAUUGUUUCCGUGUUACUUUCAAACAUUUAAAUUAAAAAGGAAAUUUUCAUAAUCUUGCCUUUUCUAUGAUUUUCAAAACCAAGGUUGAUCUACUGAAGAACAAGUUUGGGUUCGACGAGGCAUUUAACUAUAAAGAAGAAGCUGAUUUGAAUGCAGCAUUGAAAAGGUUAGCAUCAAUAAAUGCCUUAGCUUGAUGCAGCUUGAUGAAGUAUGAUACACAUUUCUGACCAAUAUACUGCGUUCCCUGAUCUCUUACUUGAAAUAUCUUGGUUUGAGAAUCUCAUGCCAAUGCCUUUAACAUUUUGGCAGGUACUUUCCUGAAGGAAUUGAUAUAUAUUUUGAAAACGUUGGUGGAAAAACGCUUGAUGCAGUGCUACCCAACAUGAAAAUCCGUGGUCGAAUUGCUGCAUGCGGUAUGAUCUCACAGUACAAUCUUGACAAGCCUGAAGGUGUGCACAACUUGAUGUAUCUUGUUUCGAAACGGCUUCGAAUGGAAGGAUUCAUUGUUCUCGAUCACUAUCACCUCUAUCCAAAGUUUCUGGAAAUGAUCAUUCCUCACAUCAAAGAAGGGAAGCUUGUAUACGUCGAAGACAUGGCUGAAGGUCUUGAGAGUGCUCCGGCAGCUCUCAUCGGUCUAUUCUCUGGCCAGAAUGUUGGGAAACAGGUGGUUGCUGUUGCUCCUGAAUGAAGAACAAGUUAGUGUUGCAGUUUGAAUGAUGCUGCUGCACAACUGCUGCCGAAAAAAUCCUUAAUAGAUGAUUAGCAAGGUUUCAAAAAUAAAAAGAAAUGUUUGUGCAACGUGCCGAAUAUGACAGCCACAAAGAAAGAGCAUACAAAUUGAUUGGUUUUAUGUCUUCUCUAGGAGAAAGCUACAAUACAAGAAAUUGUAUUGAUGGAGCCAUGGACCAAAUUUCUUAUUUAAACUUUUAAUUUUUUUUAUUAAAAUUACUUAUGUUAUUAUGGUUUAUAUUUUUAGAAAUUCUUUAGAAAUUAAUACAGAACUAGUAGCAAGUUGAGAAAUCUACUGAAUAGUCGAGAUAUGAUCAUGUUUAUUGAAUUAAAUUGACAAUCAUCAUUUUGAUAAAUUAUUGUUAGGAUAUUUGAUUCAUCACAGGUGUAAGUAACUAAAUGUGCUAAAAAAAAAGUUAAUGAGUUGUGAGUGUUUGAUAUUCGUUUGUUGUAAUUCUUUUAAUAAUUGUUGUGGGAAAAAAAUUAUGGUAAAAAAAUUAUAAUUAUAAAAUAAAAAUUAAUAAUAUAUUAUAAAUAAAAUUUUUAAAUAAUAAUUUUAAUAAAAUAAUAAAUAUAUUAUGAAUUUUUCAUUAUAAAUUUUUAAGUUAAAAUAAUAAAUAUUUAUUAAAUAUUUUAAUAGCACAACUUUUAAAUUAUAACAGUACAAUGUAAAUACCAGAGGUCUUAAAAAAUAAAAUUACAGUCAAGUUUUAAAACUGUUAAUAAUGCUAUUCAUAAAGGCGCUCGUCGUGUAAACAACACAUGGGACCCAACCAAUAAAUGUUUAUGAUCCUCAACUUUCCUCCUCACCGUCCCUGCAAACAAUUCUGAUCUUCUUGUCUGAGAAAAAAACUGAGAAACAAUGGCGGCCGAACAAGAAGCUGUGAGCAAUAAGCGGGUGAUUCUAAGCAACUAUGUGACAGGUUUUCCAAAAGAAUCGGACAUGAAGAUAACAUGUGGAUCAAUAAAACUGGAGGUAGCAGACGGUUUAAAAGACACGGUGCUUUUGAAGAAUCUUUAUAUUUCUUGUGAUCCUUACAUGCGAGAGCGUAUGAGCAAGCUUGAUAGACCUUCUUUUGUUGAUUCAUUCCAUCCUGGUGAGGUUAGUUCAUCACGACCCAUCUCUUGAUUUUUUUUUUUUUUUCAUUUGCUUCAAGUUUUGAUGAGUUUCUGAGGUCAUUUGUACGGUUUUGGAAUGUGAACACUAUUAGUGAUUUUGGGGCUGUAACUGUCAUUAAUGAUAUGUAGUAAUUCAAUCAGAAUUUGGAUUUAGUGCUGAUAUGAUCUCUGCUCAUUUUUUAAAAUCUUGUGUCCAGAUGCAUUUUUAUAAUCUUGUACGGUUGAGAUUGUAUGUAGAUUAAUCUACGUGCAGUAUUCUUGUCUAAUGACUACUAACCACAACCUUAUGAGACGAUCGAAACCAAGCUCAGAUCAAUAAUCCAAUUGAGAGAGGGUCCUAACUCAAGCUUAUCGUGUGUAGGAAUAUUUCGGUUAAAUUGUAAUUCUUUUAAUAAUUGUUGUGAAAAAAAAAAGUUAUGAUAAAAAAAUUAAUAAUUAUAAAAUAAAAAUUAAUUAUAUAUAAUAAAUAAGAUUUUUAAAUAAUAAUUUUAAUAAAAUAUAAUAAAUACAUUAUCAAUUUUUCAUCGUUAAUUUUUAAGUCACAACCACAAAUAUUUACUAAACACUUUAACACCAUAAUUAACACCACAACUAUUGAAUUAUAACUGUACAAUCUAGACGCCAAGAGGCCUUAGUAUGAAAAAAAAAAAUUACAGUUAAGUUAAAAUUCAUCAUACAGAUGUGCCACUUUCAUACUAUACCGGGAUCCUCGGUAAUGAUUUUUGUUACACAAUAAGAUUUGCUUAUAGUAAUAUCAAUACAUAUGCUGCUUAAAUGCUUUCUGAUUUUUUGCCGGCCAUUGUCCAUUUUGCCAGGGAGUCUAUAAUUGAAGGAAUUUACUGAAGGAAUGCUGAUUGUUGGGAAUUUGAUUAUUCUAGGUAUGCCUGGUGUAACUGCAUACGCUGGUUUAUACGAAGUUUGCUUUCCGAAGAAAGGAGAGUAUGUCUAUGUAUCUGCAGCAUCUGGAGCUGUUGGUCAGCUUGUUGGACAGUUUGCAAAAUUAGCUCGUUGCUAUGUUGUUGGAAGUGCAGGAAGCAAAGAAAAUAUAGCACCGUGCCUUCUAGCAGAAUUUUACUUGCUUUAUGUUCCAACUAAGCAUCCAUAUUUGAUCAUGAUAAUUAGCAAGGUCAAUAAUUUUUUUUUGACUAUUUUUUCAACGUAAGGUCGAUUUGUUGAAGAACAAGUUUGAACGAUGCUUUUAACUACAAGGAAGAGCCUGAUUUUGAUGCAGCACUCAAAAGGUCAGCUGCAACAAACGUUUCAACUCUAAUAUUUCAUUUUAAUAUUACAGAGCUUUGGUUGAAGUGUGUGAGUUGAUCCCAGAAACGUAACUUCAUCAGUGUCUCUGUUUUCAAAAAACAUGACAAAUAGAAAUCUGAUUUUGCUUUAAAAUUUCCCAGAUGCUUCCCUCAAGGAAUCGACAUAUAUUUCGAAAAUGUUGGGGGAAAGAUGCUGGACGCAGUGCUACUCAACAUGAGGCUCCGGGGCCGCAUUGCAGUAAGCAGUAUGAUCUCACAGUAUAACCUGGAAAAACCCGAAGGCGUACACAACUUAGAGCAACUGAUCGGGAAACGGAUUCGCCUGGAAGGAUUUCUAGCUGGUGAUUACUAUCACCUCUAUCUGAAAUUCUUGGAACUGGUCAUUCCUCCAAUCAGAGAAGGAAAGAUGCUGUAUGUGGAAGACAUGGCCGAAGGACUCGAGAAAAUUUCUCGUAACUGCUACACAUUAAACGCGUUUCACAUUUCCACUCUCUUUCUAUAAAUAAAUACGCACAUAAAAUUUCUCACCAUCCAAAAACAAAAUCUACAUAAAAAAUGGCGGGUGAAGAAGCAGUGAGCAACAAGCAGGUGAUUCUGAGCAACUACGUGACAGGGUUUCCCAAGGAAUCAGACAUGAAGAUAAUAACAGGCUCAAUAAACCUUAAGGUGCCAGAGGGUUCAAAAGACACAAUGCUUUUGAAGAAUCUUUAUCUUUCCUGUGAUCCUUACAUGAGAGGACGUAUGAGCGAGCUUGAUAAGCCUUCGUUUGUUGCCUCAUUCGAGUCUGGCGAGGUCAGUUACUUCAAUUCCCAUCUCUUGGUUUCAUAAUCUUUUAUGGUUUUAGAAGGUGUUUUAGGGAAACAUUGUGGUUUUGGUUAGUGGGCAUGAGUCUUUGAAGAGAUUAUAAUGUGUAGGACUAUGCAUGCAAUAAUAAGCAUAGGGGAUCUUGUUAGGAGAAGAUUCUCUUAGCAAAAUAAAAACUUUUAUCUUAUCAAAACAUAUGCAGGGAACUUAGUUAUGAUGUCAUGUUAGCAUUGUCUCUGAGGAUUUGAUUUCUUGAUGGGGAAAGGGGAAUUUAAGGUUACAUUAUUCAGCAAUGGUUUUUUUUUUAAAUUAUGUUCAAAUUAUGCAGCCUUUAAGCGGAUAUGGAGUGUCCAAAGUGUUGGAUUCCACGCCUCCAAAUUAUAAGAAAGAUGACUUGGGUGGUGUUUGUUUUUUAACUUAAUGACUUAAAGUGACUUAACUUAAUUAAUUAAGUUAAUUAGAGAUGUUUGUUUUUAUAACUUAAUGUGACUUUUUAAAUAAUUUUGACUUAAUAAAAUAAGCCAAUUUUAUUUACUUUUUACUUAAUAGAGACAUCUGAAUUAAGUCAAGUACUUUCUAAUGUCAAAAAUAUACAUGCUUUAUAAUUUAUUUUUCAUGUCUAUCCCAAAACUCACCCAUAGACAUUUACCCCACAUAAUAAUCUCAUCAUUAUUUUUUUAGCCGUCAUGAAAUCCCUCCUCACUUUGGUAUCAACUCCUCAACUAUUGAAGAUCAAAAUUACAUGCGACAACUUCGAGAUGAAUGGCAAAUCAACUGUUUCAAGCAUCUUAUUAGUUUUUUUUCUUUUUUAUAUUAUAUACGAUAAAAUUUGAAAUUUAUGGUAUUUUAUAUAUUAAAAUUCCAAAAUCAUUAUAUAUUCACUUGAAUAUAGUUUUACUUAUAAAUGUUAAAAUAUUGUGAUAUUUAAUAUAUUGUUUAUUUGACAUUCAAAUUUAAUAAGGAUACAAAUGUAAAAGUACAUAUUUUUCAGUUUUUUAAGUUGAAAAAAGAAAACAACUUAAUAAUUAUUUUUCGAGAUUCAGACGAAAAAACAAACAUAUUAUUCAGAUUCAGACAUUCAGAUCUAUUCAGAAUUUAGACUAAUUCAAGUCUAUUCAGAUUUCAGAUAAAAAAACAAACGCCACCUUGGUCCGGGGCUUAACCAGUUGGGAGGAGUUCAGUCUCAUCCAAUCACCACAACUUCUGAUUAAAAUUCUGGAUACAAGUGUGCCUCUGCCAUAAUUAAUUGACAGGUUGCUAUGUUGUUGGAAGUGCCGGAAGCAAAGAAAAGGUGAGUUUGCACCCUUAACCCUUACGCUCUAAAUAAAAACAUAACACCUUCUGAAAGAAUUGUGCAUAGAGAAUUUUGCAUGUCACAUUAUUUGUGUUCUAACUAAUCAUGGAUAUUUGAUCAUUAGUCUAACUAAAACUGACAUAUUACCACCUAGUUGACUGGUCUUUGAGAAAUGUUAGUUGAUAUAUGCUUGAAAUCAUACUUUGUUUUAUUAGAUGAUUAUAUUAACCUGCUUCUUUUUCUUUGUGCUGUUUCUCGUUUGAUUACAUUUUCAACAUUAGGUCGAUCUAUUGAAGCACAAGUUUGGGUUUGAUGAUGCCUUUAACUAUAAGGAAGAGCCUGACUUGGAUGCAGCUCUUAAUAGGUUAGCACGAAUGAAUGCUUUAACCAUUUUUCUCACUUCAUUAUUACAAUGCGCUGAUUGAAGUAAUCAGUGUUGGCUCUGAAAAUGUAACGUAUACUUCUCUGUUUUCAUAAAACAGGACAAACAGUGAUCAGUGAUCUCAUUCGUUACAUUGAUAUUUUCUACCAUUGCCAUACAUAGUAUAAACUAGGAAUUCAGUUGCUUAAUAGAUAUUCAUUUCAGAGGGAAAUUUUCACUUGCAGCUAACAGAAUCAUGUUUGUGAUGUAUGUUUAUUUGGGAAAUGAAAGGAUUUGUUGCAUUAUUUUAUUCCAAGUUUGCUGAAAUCAUAUUUGUUUUCCCAGGUGCUUUCCUGAAGUUAUCGACAUCUAUUUCGAAAAUUUUGGGGGUAAGAUGCUUGAUGCAGUGCUACUCAACAUGAGAAUUUGUGGCCGCAUCGCUGUAUGCGGAAUGAUCUCACAGUACAACUUUGAGAAGCCUGAAGGUGUACACAACUUGAUGCAAGUAAUUGGAAAACGAAUUCGCAUGGAAGGAUUUCUUGCCAGUGAUUUCUACCACCAAUAUCCAAAAUUCUUGGAACUGGUUAUGCCGGCAAUCAAAGAAGGAAAGUUAGUAUAUGUCGAGGACAUAGCUGAAGGCCUCGAGAAAGCUCCAUCAGCCCUAGUUGGGAUAUUCACAGGUCAAAAUGUUAAAAAACAACUGGUUGUAGUUGCUCGGGAAUGAUAUGAUUACUAUAUGCUUUAAAAAGUGGACUUUGCCAUGCACUUUAAAACCUUAGUGAAGAUGCCUUUGUCUUAUUUUUGAUACAUGUUAUGUUUGUUUGAUCAAGUUGUACUCAGCUAUAAAUCAAAGAUUCAGAACAUGUGUAUGAUACUGGUUUCUAAAUCAAUGAACGCCUUGAAAUGUUAGUGUUUUCACAGGAGAAUGCAAUUUAAUUCAUCAACAAUGUCCCAACAAGACCCUCAGAGCUGUAGCUUGUAAAGUUAAUUACGAUAUUUUUUUGUAAAGUAAAUUACCAUAUUUUUUUCUUUCCAAUAUAUUGCUUAUUUCAUAGAAAGUUUACAUUAAAGUCUCAUGUUUCUUUGAAAGGUAAGCAAGUGUGAACGUUUCAAUCUAGAGAUGGAAAAUGCAUUUCCGGGAACUUACUUGAUAAAUGAAGUUUUCAUCUCUGACCUUGAUGUUUCCCACAGGUGCAUUCAUUUCAGCUGAUCUAUAUAAUUUUGUUUUCGAAGGAGAGACACAAAAUCUCCGUUGUUAAGGGGAGAAUUUAGAGUGGCUUUGACUGUUAACAAAUAGCCUAAUGUAAGACUUAACCAACUUCCUGCCCUGUUGUAUGCUUAUGAAUUUUGAUAGAGCUAAGAGUUUGCAGAAGCUAUUGUAUUAUAUGUCGUUAGAGGCUGUAAACAUCAAACACAUUUAAAUUUCAAUGAAAAUUUACUGGAAGUAAAUUUCCUUUGAUCCCACAGGUGACUAAUUAAUGAGAACUUGACAAUGACAAAAGAAAGUGUAUGAACUUUGCAGGCUGGCAUGCCAAUAUUGACUGGGUGGCACCAUCCACCAUCUGCAAGUGAAUAUCAUUGUUGUUUAAUCAACAAGGUGGAGUCCACUGGGACCACACCACAUCGUCAGCCUUAUCUCUAUUCCUCAAUUUUCAGUAUUCCAUACAUCAAAACAAUUUCAGUUUUGUUAUCAAUUAUAAUUUCAUUGUUGGUGACGAUUCUGAUUCCUUUCUUUCUGACAAAACGGAACCAUGGUUGCUGUGGGAGAGAUCUUACUCAACGCCUUCUUUCAGGUGUUGUUUGACAGGUUGGCUUCCCGUGAUUUGCUCAGCUUUGUCCGUCAACUUGGAGGCGGGGUCGAUUCCGAGCUCAAGAAGUGGCAAAGAAAGCUGAAGAUGAUUCAGGCGGUGCUCAACGAUGCAGAGGAGAAGCAACUGACUGACGAGGCUGUGAAGAUGUGGCUGGACGAUCUCCAAGACUUGGCUUAUGACGCUGAGGACAUUCUUGAUGAGUUUGCUACUCAAGCUUUGGAAAGCAAGUUGAUGGCGCAAAAUCAGGAUAGCUCUGGCCAGCUUCUCAGUUUCAUCCCGGCUAGUUUGAAUCCGAAUGCUGUUAGGUUCAAUUAUAGCAUGAGGUCCAAGAUUAACGAUAUUACUAGCCGGUUGGAGCAACUCUGCAAAUAUAGAAUUGAACUUGGGCUGCAACGGAUUCCUGAAGGGGCAUCAUCAACUGCUGCUGCUGCACACCAGAGGCCACCCAGUUCAAGCGUCCCACCAGAACGUGAAGUUUUUGGUAGAGAAGAAGAUAAGGCCAAAAUUCUUGAUAUGGUAUUGGCCGAUAGCCCAAGUGAUCAUGCCGACUUUGCUGUAAUACCCAUUGUUGGCAUGGGCGGGAUAGGAAAAACAACUCUCGCUCGGGAGGUCUACAAUGACAAGGCCGUUGAACAUUCCAAGUUUGAUGUAAAAGCAUGGGUUUGUGUAUCUGAUGUCUUUGACGUUUUGGGCAUCUCAAAGGCGCUUCUCGAGUCAAUCACCCGCAGGCCAUGUCUUCUAAACAGUUUAAACGAAGUGCAGGUUGAAUUGAAAGUAGCUGUGGAUAAAAAAAGAUUCUUGCUGGUCUUAGAUGAUGUUUGGAACGAGGACUACAGCUUGUGGGUAGACUUAAAAGCUCCGUUCCUGGGUGCUGCACCAAACAGCAAGAUGAUCGUCACCACACGCAAUUCAAGUGUUGCAUCAACAAUGAGACCCAUUGAUCGUCACCACACGCAAUUCAAGUAUUACGAUCUCAAGAGUCUGUUAGAUGAUGAUUGCUGGUCCAUUUUCAUAAACCAUGCAUUUGAAUCUACAGACCUUAGCGCACAUCGAAUUUCAGAAUCAUUCCGCGAGAAAGUUGUUGGCAAGUGUGGGGGCUUGCCUCUGGCAGCAAAAACACUCGGGGGCCUUCUUCGUACUAAAACGCAUGCUGAGUGGGACGGUAUAUUGGAUAGCAAAAUAUGGGAUUUACCUCGGCAAAGCAGCAUUCUCCCCGUGUUAAGAUUGAGUUACCAUCAUCUUCCUUCUCAUUUGAAAAGAUGUUUUGCUUUUUGUGCCAUCUUUCCAAAAGAUUAUGCAUUCACUGAGAGGGAGCUGACUUUCUUAUGGAUGGCUGGAGGUAUUAUUCGACAGUCAAGAAACAAUGAGCAGCUGGAAGAUUUGGGCAGCAAGUGCUUUGGUGAUCUAGUGUCGAGGUCAAUUUUUCAACAAACAGCAAUCUCUGAUAGUUCUAAAUUUGUAAUGCAUACUUGAAAUUUCUGUCUUCAAUAUUUUGAUGCUUUCUUAUCCCAUGCACAAAAGUACUAGAAAAAACUAAUAACAGCUAACCGAAAAUCCCAGGCGUCAUAUUCCUUUUUACCGCGUUUUAAAAUGCACAACAAUGAUAUUCUUACAAAUUUGCAAAAUUUGUCAAUUUCUUAGAUUUCAGAUAUUUUAAUGCUUUUUUUAAUUUUUGAUCUAGUAAAAAUACACAGCCUUCACCGGCAGGAUUCUAGUCUUGGCUUUCACCUCUCUAACUCAUCUGUUCCCAUUGGGAUUCCAGAAAUUGAAAUUUCUGUCUUCAAUGGGUUUUCAAAGCCUCGCCUCUCUUCGAUUUUUGUGGAUCGGGAAUUGCACAAAUCUCACAUCAUUUCCCGAGGUCGAGGAAAAGAGCGGCCCAAACUUGCUCGCAUCCCUUAUUAGGUUAUGAUAGAUGGAAAAUUCAUAUACGAUCCAGAGUCAGAGGUGUUGAUUCUCUUAUUAAGGUCAGCUGAUUUCUAUUAUCCACUCUGACAAUCUCCUAUUCGUGUUUUUCCUUUUUAAAUUUUUUUUCCAAAAUUUUGCAGUUCCGUAUAUUGGUGUUUGUUAAGGUAAUUAGUGCUCCCUCAAUAUUGCAUUUUAGACUGCCAAAUGUAGCAGUAAUUUUAAUACAAUUUUGUUGGUGCCUUGUGUUCCAGAAGCUAGAAAAAUGUGUAGUUUUCAGAUAAGGAGGCUUGUCAGUUCUCUAGUAAGAAUCCAAUGAUUUGCUUUUGCACGUCCAUCUAAUUUGUGGAUCCUUGCAUCAGAAUUUGAUCAAUCCAAAAGGAAUUGCUUUUAGACAGAAGAAGAAUAGCAGCACCUAGCCUACCCGCAAACCUGAAACUAUUAGAUUGAGGUAAAAAAAUCAUUGACCCUCACAUGUUAACUUCUUCUAGUUACUUUCAUUGGGGAAAAAAAAACAUUUAAGGAAUUUGCAAUUUGUUGUUAGUUAUGGUAUCUGAUGUUCUUUUCUGCUUUAGCGUUUGUAGAACCUACUGUAUUAUGUGUUGGCAGUUGCCGUAUCUGAGGUAACUUGCCUUUAUUUGUUUGCUUCUGAGUUAAGGACACCAACAUUUGCCAGAGAUUUAGAGAAUCAUCUCAAAACACUUAGCAAACUUGACAAACUUCAAGAUGCACUUGCCCCCACGCCUUAUUCUCAACAACGCAAAACUUGUGAGUACACCUAUGCCUGCAAUUAUUGUGAAGUGUUCGCAAUUCUGAUGCAGAGAAAUGGUUUCUUGAUGCAAAGUAUUAAACUGUUAAGAUUUAUCCUGCAGGCUUGUUAGAUGUUGUAUACUCGAAAAGCCAACAACAUCAAGAACUACAACUCCAAGACCAACUUUGCGUUAAUUCAGUCAGCUGUAAAAAUGAUGCAAAUGACACUAUAUCAAGCUGGACUUAGAGACUAGUCAGAUCAAUCAUCCAUUUCAUCAACGGUUAAUGUCAUGAUGGUGGCUAUCAGAGGAAACAAAAGAUGUGUCAGAAUCUAUACGAACAUUGAGAAGCAUGAGAGGAGCUUUGAUUUUGAGUAGGGUCAAUGAACUCAUGUUGGUAAGUGGUGAUUAAAGAAAUUUGUAAGCUUAGUAGAGUUUCAGUAUUUUCUGUUUGGAGUAUAGUUGAUAAGUUGACUCUGUUUAAGAAGCCCGAUUAUAGUAGCUGACUGUAUUAACCUUUUUUUUUUUGGUCUGCUGUUGUUUUUGGUUUCGAUUAUUUUUUCAACAUUGGGUUGAUCUGUUGAAGAACAAGCUUGGGUUUGAUUAUGUUUUAACUAUAAGGAAGAGCCAGACUUGGUUGCAGGCGUUAAGCUUUUAAUGGGUAAGAACAAAUGAAUGCUUUAACCAUGUUUCUCACUUAUUAAAAUGCAUGGAUUGAAGGCAUCUGGGUUGAUCCUGACAAUGUGAUGGAAAUACUUCUCUGUUUUCAUGUAACAGGACAAAUAGAGAUCUCUGAUCAUGCCUGAAUUUUUGUUGCAUUGAAAUUUCUACCAUUACCAAACAUAGAAUGAACUGGGGAUACAUUAGCUUAAGACUCAAUUUUGAGAAGGAAGUUUGUACUUGCAGCCUAUAAAAUCAUGUCCGUGUCGUACGUUUCUUUGGGAAAUGAAAGAUUCUGUGUGUUCUUUUAUUUCAAGUUCACUGAAAUCACAUUUGUUUUCUCCGAUGCUUUCCAGAAGGUAACAACAUCAAUUUCAAAAAUGCUGGGGCAAGAUGCAUCAUGCAGUGCGACUCAACUUGAGAAUUCCUGGCCACAUUACCCGUAUGUCGAAUGAUCGCACAGUUCAACCUUGAGAAGCUUGUAAUGAGUACACAACUGGGUGCAAGUAGUUUUGAAAUGAAUUUGCCUCAAAUGAUUUCUUGCUCGCAUCCCUUGGGUUAUGAUAGAUGGAAAAUUCAUAUACGAUCCAGAGUCAGAGGUGUUGAUUCUCUUAUUAAGGUCAGCUGAUUUCUAUUAUCCACUCUGACAAACUCCAAGACCGGGUUUUUUUUUUUUUUAAUUUUGCCGUUCUGUAUAAUUGAAAUGCCACUCACUUGUUUCCUUCUUCACAGGUCCGAUAGUAUGUUGAGGCUAUUUGCUUUUUAUCGGUGUUUGUCAAGGUAAUUAGUGCUGCCUCAUAGGUUGAUUACUCACAGAUGAAAUCAUAACUUUUAUCUUAAAAUUUAAUAGCAUACACAGAUAGAUGAUUUUUAGUCCAAAGUUUUUUUAUUCACUUCAAUCAAAAUUUUAGAUUGCAGAUUUUUGUCAAGUAUUUCAUUACAAUUUUUUCAUUUUUUAUUUUAAACCAGAAUAUGAGUAUAACAUUUUGGAGCGUGCAUACUCUGAUGCAUGCAAUUAACUGUUUUUAAUCAUUGGAUUUUGAAAUUAAUAAUGGUAAGAUGUGUACUUAUUCUGUCUUCCAACAACCUUGGCCUCUUUCUUCGGUCGCAUAUCUAAUGAAUAUUUCUCUGUUUAGUUAAGGAUGAAUGCUUGGAGUGGGGUACUUGGUAACAUUUCUGCCUCAGAUGAAUCCUUGAAGAAAUGCCCGCAGUUCCUGAGACCAAAUACAGGUCUGAUUCAAAACAGCACCUUUCUCAGAAAAUAUGAUCCAAGGCAAAGUCAUGUUCUGAUAAUGUUUCCUUAAGUACAAAGUUGCAAGGAAACUUGAUUCAUUAACUACAGUUUUUUAUUUUUAGGACCUUGUAUCUGAAAGGUUCAGUGUUUUUUUUUUUUCAAAUUUAUUGUUCAGAUCUCAGAGGAGUAUAUGGUUUAGAUUACAAAACACCCAUGAUUAAUUUCAUUUUUUUUUUUUUAUUUCAGGGAGAAGAAGUGGUCAGUUUCAAUCCGGAAUUGGAAUAUGGCAAUUUGGUUCAAGCACACACACCUGGUCACUUGGUCAGUGAACCUGAACUUUACGCAGUUUUUUCAACUCAGUGAUUUUUGGAACGCAUAGUGGUGUAAGGAAAUCAAAAGAAAUUUAUGCAUAGUCAAAUUCUGAUAUUUGCUAUAUAUUAUACAUUCUAAAGUUUCUCCAGUUUGUUCUCAGAUUACCAUCAUUUUUUGCCUUCACCAAAAAAAAAAAAUUGAGUGGCUUUCCAGUGGAUAUUUAAUCGGAGGUAUGACUGGAUUUUUUUCACUUCUGUAAAUCUUGCAUUUUAAACUGGCAAAUUUAACUUUAAUUUUAAUACGACUUUGUUGGUGCCUUGUGCUCCAGAAACUAGAAAGAUGUGUAGUUUUCAGAUAAAGGGGCUUGUAAAUUCUCUAGUAAGAAUCCAAUAAUUUGCUUUUGCACGUUCAUUUUAUUUGUGGAUCCUUGCAUCUGAAUUUAAUCAAUCCAAAAGGAAUUGCUUUUAGACAGAAGAAGAAUAGCAGUACCUAGCCUAUGACAUAGUAUAUGGACCUGCAAACCUGAAACUAUUAGUUUGAGGUAAAAAAUUCAUGACCCUCACAUGUUAACUUUCAUGAAAAACACAUUUAAGAAAUUUGCAAUUUUUUGUUAGUUUCGUAUCCGAUGUUGUUGCAUCACAGUAACUUUAAACCACUGCGACAUUUUUAUAAUAACAGUCUGAGAUCUCCCUGAAGGAUUCAAAGCAUUUUAUUUUAUAUUAAACUCCUUUAUGUGGGUUUCGACACUACCACAAGUUCUUUAAAUACUAAAACGAUUUUAAGUCUUUUGUAUCAUCUUAUUGAAAUAUAUGAAAGCACUCGUGGUUGCAAAAAUACAGUUGGGGCUAUUUCUAAAGUCUUCAACAGCAUUUUCUUUUUAACCUUUAUCCUCAUGGUUGUUUUUGCAGUUGUUCUUUAAGAAAACAUUUAAAAGGUUCUCUUUAUGGAUUUUUGAAAAUAAUUUUAACAUUAGCAAUUUUCAGAAGCACUUUAGAUGUCUGGCAUUUAGAAAAUUUUAUUCCGGUGUCACAUAAAAUACUUAGGAAGUUAAAUUUAUUUAUUUAUGAGCAUGUGCCAGUGCCCUGUGGCAUCCUCUUCACUUGUGAUAGUCAAAUAUAUUAUACGAUACAAUAUUAGCUUGACUGUAGCACAGAGGAGAAUAGGGUUGGUGUUGGUCUGAACCAGCUUAUGUAACAGCUGCCAAAAGGAUAAUUUAAUUGUACUUUGAGUAAAGCUUUUGCGAAUUAAACAAGUGAUAAUUUGUUUCUAUUAAGAAAAACUUAAAGGAUAGGGCUAUUUUAACUCACCAAACUACACAUUAAAAAUCCACUUACAAAAAUAGUUUUUAAUUAUUAAAAUAUUCCUAAAUUAAAUUAUAAUUAUGGACACUAAAAUAUAAUUUUUUUUAUAUUUUACUUUUUGAAACUGUCUUUAUAUUCGAUAUUAUAUUUUUUUUCUUAAACUCUAAAUUGAUAUUUUUUUAUUAAUUUUAAAACACAUAUAAAGUGAUUUAUAUUGAUUUUAUACUAACAAACUAUUAUAGCACAUUCGAAAAAUAAUUAAAUCGUUCUUAUUUACAUAGUGAAAAUGCAAAUAGCUCAUUCAAAUGUUAAGGAAUUGGAGAGCUGCUGCUGGAGAUGAAAGAUGUGAAUUAAACAUCAGAGAAAAAAUUAUGUUCACUAUCUUGCCAGACCAAGCACCGAAGAGCGUCGUAAAGAAAAAUUAGAUAAUUUAGAAGAUAAAGCACGUGGAAUGGAGGCAGAAAGCAAGUAAUGAUAACUCUUUCGACAAACUAAUAUAUACCAAAAUGCAAUAUCGGCCCUAAUAAAAAAUGAAAAUAAAAAUUCAUUACGAAUACUUGUUAAAGAUAUCCCAAGUAUAGAUGUGACUGAAAUAUUUGAGAUUGAAGAAGAAUUAAGACUCAAAAUCAAUUGGGAGGAAUAAAUGAGAAACCCCAAUACCAAAAAAUACACGCACAAAUCCUAAUACUAAUUGUAAUCACGGAUAAAAAGCAUAAUACGAAUAAAUUACAUGGGCAACUAUUCCAUUGAGAAAUUAAUUAAAUCGUGUAUUAAUAUUUUGUAUACAUAUAUUUUUCUAUACAUAACUUUCGGUAAUUUAGUUUUCCACUUAUCAUUUUUACUCCAAAAAAGUAAUUGAGAAUAUUAUUUAUGUUUUGGUACAAAAUAUUUGAACAAUAUACAAAUUUUCAGUUUAAUAAAUCUAAACAUCUAUUAAGUUAUAAAUGAAUUUAAUGGGUUUAAUUAAUAAAAUUACUAUUAUUAUAUAAAUUGGGUUUAGUAAUGGUAUAUUGGGUGGGUUUGUUGAGUAAAUUUUAAAAUUUUGAAAUUUAAGGAUGAAUUUAUUUAGUAAAUGAAUUCAGGGAGUAAUUUGUUGGGAUUCACAUAGCCCCACCAAAUUCAAAUGUAAAAUUUUUGGAAAAAGAAGCUAUUGAGUUAUUCUAAAAAAUAAUUAAAAUGUCAAGAAUACCUUUAUUUAAUUUUAUAAUCUUAUUUUAUAGUCAUAUUUUAUUUCCACCUUAACAUAAUUUUAAAAACCUUAACUAAUAAAUUCUAUAUUUUUUUUUAUAAAAGUUAUCAUUAAUAUCCAAACGGCUACAGAUUUUUUUUUUUUAAAAAAAGGAACUAUGCUUACAAAAGUUGUAUACAUUAACAAUAAAUUUAGUCCAAAGAAUAAAGUUAUUCCAAACAAGCACUCUAAUUCAUCUUGCUAAUGAAUCAAGAUGACUGAAUCCUUCUCUGAGCCAAAUCUAUUUUCACUUUUAGGUCAGAAAUUGUCAUUAAAAAAGUGUUUGAUAAAAUAUGCUCUGGGAACACUAAUUCGUCAGAUGGUUACUCCAAGUUUAUGAAAUCAAUGGGAUUUCAUCAUAUUCAUAACAUUCUUCUUGAAUGUCUAUUCUAACAAAGAAAUCAUAUACAGAGAAUAGGUUUCGUUAAAACUUUUUCUAGAAAAACUAACCACAAUUCAUCAUUCAUUUAUCUCUUAAGUAAGCGUAAGAUUUUAUCAUUAAAAUCCCAUCAUGAAAAAACUCAUGGGAGAAAAACUAUAAAAAUUGAAGAAAAAAGAGUAUGGCGUGCAUGUAAAUUAUAUCGAUUUUAUCUACAUGACAAAUAAGACUCUCUUUUACAAUGGCACGGAUGCUUCAUUGAGUAAUCAUGAUUCUUGCUGGUAGUGCUUUGUUGUAUCAAUCUGCUAGCUAUUCAGCGUUCUUUCUUUCUUUCUUCUUAUUUUUUUGUUUUCAAAUAGCUUGUGGUUGUAGAAAUAUUUCAAUUAAACUAUACUUAAGUACUUAUUUGGUAUAACUUCUUUACUAACCAAAAGAAUUUUUUUUUUUGGUUUUUUAUAAUUUAAUUAUACUUUAACUAGAGUUUUUGGGAUAAAACAAGUGAUAAUUUCUCUCUAUUAAGAAAAACUCAAAGGGUAGGGCUAUCUCAAUCCACCAAACUAUUUAUUAAAAAUCCACUUAUGAAAAUAAUUUUUAAUUAUUAGAAUGCGUUUACAUUAAAUUAUAAUUAUGGACACUAAAAUAUAAUAAAUUUUUUUUUUACUCUUUAAAAUUGUCUUUACAUUUGAUAUCAUAUCUUUUUCUUAAAAUCUAAAUUGAUAUUUUUAUUUUAUUUUUGAUUAAUCUUAGAACACAUAUAAAGUGAUUCAUAUUGAUUUUAUACUAACAAACUAUCACAGCACAUUCGAAAAUAAUUAACUCGUUCUUAUUUGCAUAGUGAAAAAGGCAAAUAGCUCACCCAAAUGUUAAGGAUAUGAAAAGCAUGGUCAAGAAAAAUUGCAUAAUUCUCACUUAGAAGAGAGGUAGCCGCCACCACCACCAGUGAAACUAUUUCACAUAAUAGAAGAUAAAGCACGCGUAAUGGAGGCAAAAAGCAAGUAAUGAUAACUCUUUUCGACGCACUAAUACAUAUCAAAAUGCAAUAUCGGUCCUAACAAAAUGAAAAUAAAAAUUCAUUACGAAUAUGUGUUAAAGAUAUCUCAAGUAUUGAUGUGAUUGAAAUAUUUGAGAUUGAAGUAGAAAUAAGACUCAAAAUUAAUUGAGAGGAAUAAAUGAGAAACUCUAAUACUAAUAAAAUAUAUUCACAAAUCCUAAUGCUAAUUAAAAUCACGGAUUAAAAAAAAUAAUAUGAAUGAAUUACAGGCGCAACUGUUUCAUUAAGAAAUUAAUUAAAUCGUGUAUUAAUAUUUUGUACACAUACAUUUUUCCAUAUAUAACUUUUGGUAAUUUAGUUUUCCACUUAACUUUUGGUGAAAAAAAUAAUUGAGAAUAUUAUUUAUGUUUUGAUGCAAAAUAUUUAAACAACAUAAAAAUUUUCAGUUUAAUAAAUCUAAACAAUUCUCAAGUUAUAAAUGAAUUUAAUGGGUUUAAUUAGAAAAAAUACUAUUAUUUUAUAAAUUGGGUUUAGUAAUGGUAUAUUGGGUAUUUAAAUGGGUUUGUUGAGUAAAUUUUAAAAUUUUAAAGUUCAAGGGUGGGUUUAUUUAGUAAAUGGGUUAAGGCAGCAAUUUUCCAAACUAAAUUUUUGGAAAAAGAGGUUAUUGAGUUUUUUUUUUUAAGAAAAAGAAUUAAAAUGUUGAGAAUACCUUUAUUUAAUUUUAUAAUCUUAUUUUAAAAAAUUUACCCAAUAAAUUUGAUAAUUUUUUAUAAAAAUUAUCAUUAACAUCCAAACAGCUGAAGAUUAAAAAAAAAAAAAAAGAAGGGAACUGUACUAGCAAAAGUUACAUUAACAAUAAAUUUAGUCCAAAGAAUAAAGUUAUAGCUAAAAAGUGCUCCUAUCCUAUUUUUCUCUAUUUUAACAAUAAUCUUCCAAUCCGUUUUACAAUGGACUUUAACAAAUGGGCUCAAUUAACAAGAUUGAUCAAGAAUUAACAAGACAAGAUGAAGAGAUGAUCUUGUAACUAAGAAUGAAGAAAUUACGCACAAAGCAGUAAAUUUGUAAAACCAGAAUUGGAGCUUCACUUCUCAAGAGAGACGAAACAGGAUACAAUCUAGCUUUGGUCAACUUCGUUUGGCCACGUCAUAAAGUCUCCCCACAGUCUUUCCCGCCAAAACAGAAAAGCUUUAAAAGCCAUUUACCUUCCUGAGUUACUUGCUCCUAUUACAUCAAGGCCCUGGAAGUCUAUAUUUAUUAUUACAAAAGCACUCUUAGGGUGCGUUUGGAAUUGAGGUGUUGUAGUUUUUAAGCUACAGCUGUUGUGAAAAAAAACUGUAAUUAUGAAAUAAAAGUUAAUAAUAUAUAGUAAAUAUAAAUUUUAAAUAAUAAUUUUAUCAAAAUUAUUAAAGAUAUAAUAAAUUUUAUAUUAUACAAGUGAAAAAUUAUAUCAACAUAGCUUAAAAGCUACAGCAGUUAAUGUUUACCAAACACUUUAGUGCUGUAGCUUUUAAGCUUCAGCUGCCCAAUCUCAAUCGCAAACGCACCCUUAAACCGAGAUCGAAGCGCAUGAUUUCAUUACAAAGCAUUCGCAAAGAAAUUGUUUUUAAAUGAAACUCCUCGUCUUGACCAGAUUAUUUAUUAUUAUUCAAAAACAAAUGCUCAAAGCUUAGCCAAAGUGAUAAACUCGUAAUUAUUCUACAAAGGGAACAAUUUUGAACGGUGGGAAAUUCCAUAAUUAUGCUUUUCUGUGAAUUAUUUUAAAUAAAAUUAUAAAAACCAAUAUAAAAUUAUUACCCAGUAAAGACUUUAGAGAGACAAAUGUCCCCAACAGGAUCAAGUGAAUAUGCCCCACAAAGAUCACAUGAUCAUUUCUUGUUCUUUUUCUUUUGGACAAUUUUAGACAAUAUAAAAGAAAAAAUAUUAAAUUUUUUUAACCGAAUUAUUUUGACUCAAUUUGGUUCAUAAUUUUUUAAACCAAAUGGAACCCUCAUAACAAAAAACUAACGGAAACAAUAAGAACACGAUGUUAAAAUCUUAAAUCAAUCGCAAAAAAGCACCCAAAACAGAUCGAUUAGGAACAGUUAACAACAAAAGAUUUGAUGGUUCAAAAUCAUAAUGUGACCUACUUCCAUCCAAGAAUUAUACUAAUUUCUUUACUAGUUGUCAAAUACAAGAUCACAAGAUUAUUUAUCACUCUAUAGAGAAAAACUUUUUAGAAGAAAUACUCCCCAAUUUUUCUCUUGAUAGUUAUGAAUCAACACCCCUAGAAAGGCUAUUGAUUUAUUUUUCCUUAUUUCAUAUGAUCGGUUGCUGCAACUUAAUCCUUGCCAAGUUCCAACAUAGUCCAAACAUUUUUCAUGGUACAUGCAUAGUGCACCUUCAGAAACUUUACAGCUCUUCUUAAAACCUCAGUUCUCGUGAUGUUUCUGAUUUAUUUUUGGGACGAGUAACACUUUUGUUGAACCUAGACCAGAUUUAGUAUCCAAUCAAGAAUUUCCAGGAUCUAGCUGAACUCUCUAAUCAAGACCUAAAGAAUAGUUAAUCAAAUCCACACAAAAGAAUCACCCAAAAACAGUAUACAAAGAACAACAAAUAUAAGUGGUUUUGAGAUAAAUGUAAUUGACUUCUGAGCAUGACUUAAUUUUGAGAUCAUUACUUUUAGUUAAAUGAUCUCCUCCAGAGCUUCUACCUAUGUAGUGUUUUUAGACCUCUAUAGUUGAUAAAGCACGUUCAAGGUGAAGGCUUGUUUUCCAAUCUAUAGUCCAAUUAUAGACUGGAAAUGGUCAGGCUUAAUGCACCUUCAAAAGCUUCACAAUUUGUAUUGAAACCUUAAGCCUCAGAAUGCUACAAAUUUUAAAUCCAUAUACUUAGUGCUCUUAUGAUUUGUUUGAUUUUUACUUAGAUGAAGAGCAUUUUAGCUAUAGAAUACAUUGUAACUAAUUCAAAGCAUGCCUUAGCUACGAGAUCAUUCAUUCUAGCCAAAUGCCCCCUUUAGAGAUUCUGCUAUUGUUGUGUAUUCAGCCUCUAUAUUUGGCAAAGCAAUUACAUGUCGAAGGCUUGCUUUCCAGUUAACAGCGCAAUUACAUAGAUUAAAGGUGUAACCAGGCAAAGAACUUAGUUAUUCUGCCAAGGUCUCCAACAUACUCCAAAUCCAUAUAACCACCAGACUUCAAUCUUUAGACUCCAUAGAUCAAACCAUAACUUAGUGUGCCUUUCAAUCUCAGGUAACAUUUUACUGUUUUCCACGUCUUGCCAUGUACUUGCUGCUAACACUAACAAUUUGAGAAAUGUUAGGCAUCGUAAGCAGCCGACAACACUCUUCUUCAUUUCUUCAUUGUCAAUUUCUUUCUUGGAACAUUGCUCCAUUGAGAGUCUGCUAUCAUUGCUCCAAUUAUUAUUAUUUUUGUUUUUUUUUAAAAAAAAAAUAACCGUGCAAUAAGAGUAUAAGACUAAGCAACGGUCCUUUUUUUUUUACCCAUUCUUGAACAUGAAGUAUUUGAGUAUGUAAUAAAAAUUGUUUAUUGAUAAUUAAAAGUUAAUAGUGGGUGGCUUUAGGUUUUGUUUACAAAAUUGACAACAAAUUAAGAUUUUUCAAAUUCAUAGGUAAGAAACUUUUCAUUUAUUCAUAGAUUUUCCGGUUUAAACUUUAAAGGAAACUUAAAAGAAAAAGAUGUAUCAUUAGAUUUGUAAUUAAAAAAAUUUAAUAUUGUAUGAUCUGUUCGAUAUGCAUAAUUUAAAUAAACAUUAAUAUAGAUGUUAUAUAUCCUAAAACUUAAUUGACUUAAUUCUUACGGUGCAAGGAAGACGUUUCCAAGUUUAAAUCUAAUUUGGGGUCGGGAAAGCACUGGGAAAUAAAUGUAACAAAGGAAAAAAGAAAAGAAUGACAGUCUGAGUGGAGCCAACACGGUUUUGAAAAAAGUGCAAAAAAGGGUUUUAGGAUAUACUCUAUUAUCGUUUGUUUGCUUGCUUGUGGAAAUAAAAGUCUCAUGUUUCUUUGAAAGGUAAGCAAGUGUGAAUGUUUCUAUCUAGAGCUGGAAAAUGCAUUUCCGUGCAACUUACUUGAUGAAUGAAGUUUUCACCUCUGACCUUGAUGUUUCCCUGAGCUGCAUUCAUUGCAGCUGAUGUAUUUCAUUUUGUUUUCGAAGGAGUGACACAAAAUCUCCUUUGUUAAGGUGAGAAUUUAGAGUGGCUUUAACUGUUAACAAAUAGCCUAAUGUAAGACUUAAUCAACUUCCUGCCCUGUUGUAUGCUUAUGAAUUUUGAUAGAGUUAUGAGUUUGCAGAAGCUACUGUAUUAUAUGUUGCUAGAGGCUGUAAAAAUGAGGCAGAUCAAACACACAUUUAAAUUUCAGUGACAAUUUACUGGAAGUAAAUUCCUAUGACCCUACAUGUGACUGUGUGGCACCAUCCGCCAUUUGGAAGUGAAUAUCAUUAUUCUUUAAUCAACAUGGUGGAGUCCACGGGGACCACACCACAUGGUCAGUCUUAUCUCUAUUCCUCAAUUUUCAGUAUUCCAUACAUCAAAACAAUUUCAGUUUUGUUAUCAAUUAUAAUUUCAUUGUUGGUGACGAUUCUGAUUCCUUUCUUUCUGACAAAACGGAACCAUGGUUGCUGUGGGAGAGAUCUUACUCAACGCCUUCUUUCAGGUGUUGUUUGACAGGUUGGCUUCCCGUGAUUUGUUCAGCUUUGUCCGUCAACUUGGAGUGGGGGUCGAUUCCGAGCUCAAGAAGUGGGAUAGAAAGCUGAAGAUGAUUCAGGCGGUGCUCAACGAUGCAGAGGAGAAGCAACUGACUGACGAGACUGUGAAGAUGUGGCUGGACGAUCUCCAAGACUUGGCUUAUGACGCUGAGGACAUUCUUGAUGAGUUUGCUACUCAAGCUUUGGAAAGCAAGUUGAUGGCGCAAAAUCAGGAUAGCUC
rnacentral:lncRNA from 1 species